rnacentral:lncRNA from 1 species
UUUUUUUUUUUUUUUUUUUUGUCGCAACGAUAAAAUUCCUAUAACCUAAUCUAGCCUAAUCUAGGGGGGGAAGGGGACUCGAUGUGAGUAGAAACUCCAUCGAAGAAGCAGGUUCUAAGUGCUAUACUAUGAAGUUGUUUUGACUUUAAAGUGAAUGCUACAAACUCCUUAAAUAAUUUAAUUGUCAUCCAAAUGAGACAAAUUGUCACCGUGAUAAAGGAUUGAUCGCUCAACUGUAUAAAAAAUCUAAAAAAAAAAAAAAAGCUGUCAAUCAUGCAAAUAUUAUGCAUUUUUUGUGUCAUUGUAGUUGGUCCUUUUCCUUUUUCUUGUCUCCAGAUAAGUACCUGGUUUUUGAUGUCAUUGGAAUUUUGAUAUAUGAAGCAGACCAUAACCUUUGUUCCCGUGGCUUUUGAUAAGUUCUCAAAUUUGGAAAUUGCCUUUUCCAUUGGUUCCCCUCAAAUAUCCAAAAAAAAAUUCCUCUAUCCCCAAAUCUUCUCACGUCAGUGGCAAUUAAUGUCUCAAAGCCAAACGAGUUUUUUUAACUGCAUAAAAUGAUAGACGAAUCUCGUGAACAAUAUUGAUGAAAUGCUUAUGAAUAUGGUAGCAGGUAAAAUGUAAAGAAACCCCAAGCAUUGCAAAAUGAAUCAACCUAAAAAGCAUAGCAUACAAAUCAUUACCAAAGAAAACCUAUAGAUAAAUUGAGGAUAACGUUAAGAAAAUAUUCUAAAGAAAUAAACAGCUAUGUUCUUCUAUCUUUUGACAGACACGAGCUGUGAAUUUAAGCUAAUGGCAAAUUAUAUUUUACCCCCCUGUGGUUUAGCGCUUUUUUACAUAACCUCCCUAUGGUUUCAAAAGCUAUACGUAACCUCCUCAUGGUUUAGAUUAAAAUGUCAAAGUGACGAAAAUAGUCAUUCGUAAUGGAACUUCUAAAAAUGUCAAAAUUACCCUUAUAAAUACAUAGCACACUAACCCCGUAUGAUUUUUAUAUUUUACCAUAUAACCCCCUUAUGGUUUAAUAUUUUACUAGAUAACCCUUUUAUAGUUUUCAAAAUAUACACAUAAUCCCCUUGGUUAAUAAAUAAUUUUCAACUUUAUAUAAGGGUAUUUUUGAUAUUUUAGGUGACUCCGUUACGAAUGAUCAUUUCCAUCAUUUUGACACUUUAAUCCAAACUAUGAGGGGGUUAUGUAUAACUUUUGAAACUAUUGAGAAAUUAUGUAAAAAUUACUAAAUCACAGGGGUAAAGUGCAAUUUGCCCUUUAAACGAUCCUUCACAUAGAACUUACCCUGGAUACUCCUAUGAGUUUUCAGUAGUCUUUUAUCACAUUUGAAUUGGAAUAACAUUAUCAAAGAUCAAGGAUCGGUUAGUAAGUCAACUAUUCAUCAGUUCAACCUAUUUUGGCAUGUAUUUGUAAAACAAGACAGACCAAUAAUAGCCGGUCCAACUAAAUGACAUUCAUGGGAGGAAAACCACUAUGUUUUCAGAACCGGACCGGAUAUCGACUUGGUCGAGCUCAGGGGUCAGGGGUCAAUGGGUUCAACCGGGUUCGAUAGGGGUUGAACCGGAUGACGUCAUAAAUAAAAUUUAUUUAAAAAUUAAAAUAUUAUAUGUAAAAUACUUAAUAACAUGUUAAUAUUAAUAAAGGUAUAUUCAUAUAUAUUUGAUGUUUCAAAUAUAUUUAAUAAGAAAAUACAAAUAAAUUAGAGCAAUCAAGUAGCAAUUUAUAUUAUUGAAUAAGCAUUAACAAGUUUAGAAUUAAAAUUAUGGACUUAAUUGAAAAAUAACACCAAACUUUAAGACAACAUUUAUAAAGUAUGAAAUAUUCGAGGUAUGUUAAUAAUUUUUAACAACUUAAGGAUCAAAACAUCAUAUUAAAAAUAUUCUGCCCUUUCAAAAAAAGUAAAAAAAAAAAAAAAAAGAGACCGGGUUCAUUUUUCCGGUCAAAACCCGGUCACCUGGUUUGACCGAGUUGUUGAUUUCCCGAUUUUUAAGAUUAACUUGGACCGGCCAACUGGCCGGUUCCCGGUUCGACCGGUCGAACCGGCCGGUCCGGUCCGAGUUUGAAAACAGAGGAAAACCAACGUUAGGUGCACUAAAUAUAUCAUACACUAACACAGGGCAUGGAGUAAUAUUCUGCCAUACUGCACAUGGGCCAACAUUUAUAGCCUUAAACCACAGUAUGUAAUUUUUCAGCACAUUUAAAGAGACAAUUAACUGUCUUCUUCAUCAAUCAAAAGAAACUACAUGACAAAGUACUUGUCAAUUUCAUUAAACUUACCUUUGUCCACCAAGUAAAAUGGGUGAUUACAGACAAAAUCUUCAAUAUUUUCUCAUCCCAAACUAAAUAGCAAAUUAGUAACACAAGUAAACACUAAACCCUUAUCAAUUUUCACCAUUUGCUUCCAACAUAAAAUAAAGCAGUCAUUUCCAAGACCCCCCUAACCUAGGAAAAAUAUUUAAAAUGGCAGAGUAAGUUAAAUUUUCUAUAAGAAAACAAAAAAUAUAUAUAUUUCUUUGCUAUGAGCUGAAGAAACAGGAAAAGUGUCAGGAAGAAACUUUGUAAAUGUAGAAAAUAAGCAUGAUAGAAAUUUGGUGACUUUUGAGGAAAUAAGAAAAAUCAAGUAAAACUUUCUUGCUGAUCUGCAUUUAAGCGUGGAAAUUUAGUGCUUUCUAUCAUGCUGCUUCUAUUUUUGAACAAAGUAAAGGGCUAAAGAAAGUUUCUGAAAUUUUUUGAAUUGAAUUUUCAUCCUUUUAAAAGGACAAAGAAAAGAUUACAACAAUCGAUGGCCAAAAAAGGAGUAUAGAAAAUACAGAACAAAUUAAACAGAGAAAGCAGGAUAAAAGGGGAAGAAAAUAUCAUUGAUAUUCAGACAGGAGGAAAAGAGAGAUGGAAAGAGACAAAACAGGGGAAUGAAUAAAGGUAAGAAGAGAAAUUCACCGAAGGAAAGAAAGGAUCAAUUUUCUUUGUCUAAAAGCCCAUUGGCAUCUGAACUCAAUUACCAGUGGGAGAGAAAGGAUCACCAUUUUCAUCUAGUGCUCCUAGCCAUCUAGUCAUGAAGCUACGAAGUCCUUAGACAGUGUAUGAACUUUGGCAUUCUAGUAGUGCUGGAGUUUUUCAUGCUAAAUAAGUCUGUGGUACUAUCGUGGCAUCCGUUGUGAAUUCUGUGCAGCUUGUGGUACUUUCUUGGGAAAGAAUUCCAGGAACAGAGAGAAUUGGGAAUUGGCAUCAGAAUGGGGAAUGCUUUUCCAUAGAUUUUUGUUGUUCUUUUUAACACUUAAAAAUACACUAAUAACAGUAUAAGAAAUAUUAAUCCAAUAUAAAAAUAAUAACUGUAAAAGUUUUUUUGAAUAAAUUAUAUUUUACCCCCCUGUGAUUUUGUAUUUUUUACAUAACUCCUCUGUAGUUUCAAAAACUAUACAUAACCUCUCAUACUCUGGACUCUAAAAGAAAUAAAUUAUCCUCAAUUCCUGUGGAUUCGACCCUGCUCACUGCUAUAUACAAGUUUGUAUUUUUCUUAAGUAGGUAUUUAUUAUUGAACAGGCUCGACACCUGUCAGCCAAAUGCUUUUAGGCUUUUGUCCUGUUGAAUUCUAUACUAGGAAAACUUGCAUAAUCAAUUAGUAGGAAAACUUGUUAAAUUUAAAAAUGAGAACACUUGGUCUCGAAAGGUAAUGAUUGAAAUUUAUUGAGCACCCAUCUAGUAAUUACAAUUUAUUUUGUCAUUUUUAUUAACUUAUUCCCAUGUACUCCUUUCCGUUUUUUAAAAUGAUUCUUGACUUUGAGGCCUUACCUACCUACAACCUGGCAAACAAACUUGAACUAUCCUAUUACUAAAUAUACGCAUAAGACAAAAAAUCCAUAAUAGUAUUAGUGUCCAUAAUCUAUGGGAAUGACAUGGUGAUUAGGCGAAUAGAUUGAGGGAAUUUUCAAUUUUUCAUGAAGAAGGCUGUGUGGAAGGUAUUAGGGAAGAAGGUUUGAUUAGGCACUGAGAUAGGUAUAUAAUCAUGCAAUACUUAUUAGUUUUAUUAUUGUCCCAUGAAUUGAUCCAAGCCUCCAAUAAUUUUGUUAUUCUAAUUUUACUUUUUUUUGUUUUCUUUUUUAACUGUUAAAAUAUAUUGAUUGUGUGGUCUUGUGGUUGUUCCAUCUUCCAUUGAGUCAAGGGAGGUAAAUGUAAGUGAUUAAAUUGGAGGGGAGCUUCCUGCAAUUUUAUGAACCCUUGGAGGAGCUAAUUUCAGCAUUGCACCAAAGAAUGAAGUUUGAUGUCCAAGUUAAGGCUUUGAUUAGGGAAAAGUUCCUAAAUUUCAAUGAAUUAUUUUAAUUGUAAAGUUUUGACCACUUAAAUAUAACUAACCAAAAAAAAAAGAAAGAAAAAUAUAUUAAUAAAUGGGAAAUUUUUUUCUCUUUCCUAUUCUUGGACAAAGAGGAACCACACCUGGUGAAAAGAGACAGAAAAAAAAAAUUCCACUCAAUAGGCAAGAGACUUGCAAUUCUUCUCAGCCUGAAAGAGUACAUUUCAUCUUGCAUAAUACAACUGUUGGAUUCUUAUUUCCUCACCAUACUUUUAUAGACCAAGGAUAAGCAUAUGUAUAAGUAAUGGUAAAUAUCCAAGGGAAAAAUGAAUAGAAUUAGCAACUUAUGUAGUCAAUUUUUGUUGACAGUAAAUUAUAGAUAACCUCAUCUAGCAUAAUGCCUUUUCAAAACUUUACAAUUAACCUUAAAAUCUUUAACCUCAAGAAUUAAAAAAGGAAAUGAGCUUGUAAGAAAUUAAUAAAUUUGGUAUCAACAAAAUAUAUUGGCAAAUUUUUAUGAACAAAAUUUUCGAAAGCACUUUGUCAAAAUGCAAGUGUCAAAAGAUAAUGAUCAAUGACACUUAAACAUGAAAUGACAAUUAUGUAGUUUUGAUUAAAUUAAAAGACACAAAUAUGUUUUUAUGUACCAAGGAUCCACAUUGCAGUGAGGUUCGGUUUGAGCUUGUAAACUAUUUCCUUACCGUAGGGUAAACCUUUUAUAUAUUGACGGUGUAUAUACUAGUGGAUCUACGUGCAUAACACGCCAUAUAUAUAAAAUUUAAUGUUUAAAUUCAAAUUCAAAUGAUUUAGCAUCUAUUCAACUCUGUCAGUAUCCACGAACAAUGUAGGAAAGAUUAAUCCAUAAAAAUAGGGGAAAUAUACAUAGGGGAAAAUGAACUGAAAACAACCAGUUCAUCACUCUUCUGCUCUACCAACUUUGCUCCAAAAUGCAACUGCAGUUCUUGGCUUCAUGCUAUUGGAGCUGAUGUUCCCGAGGAAGUUUCUGUACCACUUGGCGGAGGACCUAGGAGUUCGAUUCAAGGUUGCACGAUCAACAGAAUAAAAUCCAAACUUUACAUCAUAACCCGAUGACCAUUCAAAGUCAUCCAUCAAUGUCCAGACAAAGUAGCCCCUCACAUCUGCACCAUUUCUGUCAAACAAAAGUAUGUAAAUUGAUCAGCUAUUCUAGCAAAGAUUUUCAGUACGAAAGAAAGCAUGCAUCAAGAAAAACAUGAAAUCAUGAAUCUUUUUUGUACGAGAGGUGAUAUGAUUUGUUUAAAUGCAUUCAUACCUUGCCCGAAGGAUGAGAGGCAAAAGGGGAAGGCUUAUAGGCUAUAGCUUCUUAAAGAAAAAAUGUUCCAUAGUGUUGAAAAAUUUAUAAACCUUUUUUAGUUUCUAAAUCAGUAGAAAAGAGAAUAUUUAUCCCAUAAUUGGCGAAGAAUCUGCUCGACAAAAGCAUCAUUAAUGGCAGUAGAUGAGGAUAGAUGAAUGUGACUACAAUCAUGGGAACAAUAUCACCUCAUGGCUCGAGCCAAGAAGGCAAGGUAUGCUUUGUGGAAUGCAAUUCGCUUGACAUCAAGCUGGAAGUCAUCAACUUGUUCUUGUUGUGGAGGUGUAGAAUAACCUACAGAUUGGUUAAAAUCAUGAGUUCUCAAUGGUAAGACAAAUGAUAACAGAAGCAUGUUAUCGAAAGUAUAUUUUUACCAUUUUCAGUAAUAAGCAUAGGCUUGUUAUGGUAUCGAUUCUUUACAUAGUCCACAAUCUCUUCCAUUCCUCUUGGAACAACAGAGAAUGUAGGCAACCCUGUCUGUUUAAACCAGAAAAAAAAAUCAUGAGGAAAAAAAAAACUAAUCUUAAGAGUCAUAUAGCAAUCUCAAUUUGAUAUUUCAGCGAAUAUCUGAUUCUCGUACUGGUUCCCCAAUCAAAACACCACCACGCUCUGCAGUAGUACAGACAAAGCCGCGGAUGGCACGGUCUCCACCAGGGGCACAGGCAGAGUCGGAGCUGGCACAACUUAAGCGUAUGCAGUCCUUAGCAUAAAGAGUUGCAUAGUGGUUCAGUCCAAGGAAGUCAAUGCUAUCCCUUAUGAGCAGUCUUUCUUCUGGUGUAAAUUUGGGUAACUCAUUUCCGUGAUAGCGACGCAUUUCUGGAGGAUAAUCACCAAACACUAGAGGAUCGAAAGCCCUGUUUUAUAAACAUAGCACAUCAAGAACGUGUCAUCUUGUCUUAUUUUGAUUUAUUUCACGUAGAGAAGCUUCUUGAUUUCAAUCUUUCAAUCCAACGAGGCUUCAAUCGCGUGAGAGGAGAGGACAGUAAAAGCUCCCAAUCUCAGGGUAAAUGGCACAGCUUAAGGAGGAGAUGUCAACACUUACCAUGCCACAUUAUUAGCCAAUGCCCUCUUUACAGCUUCCUUGUCAUGCUCAUCAUCAGUAAAUGGUUCGUACAUAAUUGCAUGGACCACAAUUCCAAUUACACCACCUUUUUUGGGCUGUCCCAAGAUUGGUAUGGCGAAAAAAAAGUAGUUUAGCUGUAUAAUCCAGUAAAACAGCAGAUACUGUAUAUCAUUGAUGCCAAACGAAGUAUUUUACUUGCCUGAAACUGCUCGCGGUAGAGUUUGGAAGCCUUGGCAUGGGCAAGUAACAUGUUAUGCAUUGCAAUCAAGGGCUCAGUAUCUGAAUUACCAGCUGAGCAGUUGCCAAAAGGAGGGGAGCAAUGACCUGGAGGAUGUUUUCCCCUUUCAUAGGCAAAAUCUGCAGCCAAAUUUGGUUCAUUGAUGGUCACCCAAUACCUCACCCGAUCACCAAAAUUCUUGAAACAAGUUUCAGCAAAAUGGACGAAAUCAUCCCUAAUUCAAUUCACAUAGACCCAAGAUUUUGAUCAUAUUGCGGAGUUAUAUACCAUUCACAUAAAAUCCAUAAUCAGAAAUCCAGCAUAAUAUUAAGUUCAACAUACUGAAUCAGAGGAUUUAGCCAGCCCCCAUAUUCGUCACUAAGCACUUGCGGUAUGUCCCAGUGGUGAAUUGUCACAAAAGGCUGAAUGCCUGCGUUGGAUACAAUGUGAUCUAAAGCUCUCAAGCGACACAGUAGUAAUAAAUAAGAGAUGAAGGGUGGAAGAAACAUGUGAUGUUUGCUCAAUACCUCUGAGUAGAAGAUUAUCGAUUAUACUACUGUAAAACAUGAUUCCAGCUGCAUUAACACCACCCAAUUUCCCAUCUAAACAAACCAUUCAAAGAUUUAUUGUGAGUUUGUGGCAUUCCAAGAAAAGAAGGGACCAAAAGGGAUUAUACCAUUGAGGGUAAACUACUUAAAGGGCCUCUAAACUAUUUCAAUUGUCAACUUUGACGUCUCAUUUAUUUUAAAUCACAAAUUGAUCCACUAAUAAUAAGAAUAGUCAAAUUUUGAUCAUGUAGUCAACUUCUAUCAUUAGAUCCGUUAAAUUUUUGCUUAGAUCCAUCAGAUUGACUAGUGGAGAUGGACUAAAGGAUCAAAAUUUGACAUUUUUUAUGGUUGAUGGACCAAAUUGAGACUUGAAAUAGAUGAGAAGUCAAAACUUAAUUAUUGAAAUAGUUUGGGAACUCCUCAAGUAGUUUAUCCUUGGAAGGAAAAUAACACACUUGGAAGUAUUCUUGACCAGGAAAUGGAGAACCGGUAAGCAUCCACUCCAAGAGAAUGGAUUGUCUCUAUAUCUUCCUGUCAUGAAUGAUUCAAAAGCCACAUGCUUUAAAUGGAUUCAGUGCUUGAAAUCUUUAAUGUACAUCUUCAUAUCAUUCAAGUAAAAUGUUAAGGGUAAAGUGAAAGGAUAUCAGAGUACUGGAGUUGGUAACUUAGUUAAUUUGGUACCAGGUAACGAUGGUAAUGAUCAGUGGCUAUAUCUCCAGUGUCUCCAUUGUUUACAUUACCUAAUACAAUUUGAAACAAAGUAGAAACUUAAUCAGAUUUCUUUAUCCAAAAUUGUAUAGAAAAAGACAUUGUUAUAAGCAGCAGUAAAAAAGUAUCCCUAUCACCAUUUUUAUGGACAAAAACAUCCCAGUUACUAAGGCUCUUCCCAUCUUCAAGAAUUGCACCCUCAAUCUAAAACCAUUGGAGUAGUGUCAUGCUAGACAAAUUUCAAGAGAACUGCAUGGAAAAAUACAUCACCAAAAACACAGGCAAAUACACAAAAGUUAAAGAAACACAUGAUUUGUAUACUUGAUAGGAAGAAGUGGCAACACCAAAGAGAAAUCCAGUUGGGAAAUCUGAUCUUUUCACAUCUUCAAGCUCUUCUUCUAUUCCAUUGCCUCCUUCUUGAAGGGCUCUUGCAUAAGGAUUUGCAGAAAUGAGCAAUAUGAAGAGAAGAAGAGAGGAGGAGGAUAGCAUAGUGGUGACCUUCAUAAGUUGAUUAUUCGAGUGGUGUCAUGAUAGUGCUAAAGAUAAUUUAUUCUUUGAUUUGGCAUAACAAGAGACAAGAAGAUCACUUGUCUGAAAAUAGAAACAAGACAUAAAAAAUUAAUGGUAGUUGAGACAAUAUCCAACUUCAGAUGAUCACUUGUUGGAUGAAAUCUUAUGACAAUACCUUCUACCUAGUCAGAAACGUGUAUAAAUAAAGUGUUUUGCUUAGGUAAGGAUGCAGCAUUGUUCAUUCAAUGCUAGUAUUAGAACCUGGAAGCUGAAUUCUCGUUUAUUUGCCUUGAAUUCAACAUUGUACAUUUUUUUUAAUUAUUAAUAAUAGGCGUUAUUUAUACAUGAUAUUUUUGCUGAUCCAUUUACGUUUGCUUUUUCUUGGGUAAAUUAGUCCUUUGCAGUUUAACGUUUUUCUAAAUAACCCUUUUAUGAUUUUAAAGCUCUCCAUCUUGACUUUAUUGCCAAAAUGACAUAAACAUUCUUCAUAAUGAAGCCACCUGAGAUGUCAAGAUUACGUGUGCUAACCACGUAGGGUUAUAUACAUUUUAAUACCAUAAAAUGAUAAUGUAAAAAAGUAUUAAACCACAAGGGAAAAAGUGUAAUUAAUCCUACAUAUACCCUUUCUUUUAUUAUUUGUAUCAUAUACCUGCAAAUUGGACAAUAAGUAUGAGAUCAAUUUAAUGAAGGUGCAAAGUAUUUGUUAAUUAACUUAGACAAAAGUAUUUGUUAAUCAAGGUGCAAAGUAUUUGUCAAUUUAAUCAAGUGCAUGUAAAAUCUAAAGAAUAUAUGAGUGAGAAAGAAAGAAACACAAUAAAUAAAAUAUGCAAUAAGAUUUUUGUAAUUUCAAAAUCACUAUUAAUUUGUGCAAGACAAAGAUCCAGAAAGAGGGAGAAGAAUUGUUGAUUGAUACAAGGCAAAACUAGAAAUAUCAUAUAAUUAACUUGGAAACAAGGGAGGUUAAGGAAAUUCAUCUGACAUUAAAACUCCAAAAACUACACGUAAUUAUGCAAUAAUUUAGCGUUGUACCCAAAAAAAACCGAAAAUGAAAAAAUGAAAAAAAAAAAGAAAAGAAAGUCUGGCCUCAUGGAAAAUGGGAGACACCAAUAAAAUGAUGUGACGCAGACUAAUUGACAGUUCCAAUUUUAAAUUAGUAUAGUCAACUAUGCCAAAGCACAGGGAUAAAUUAUUCUGCUCAAAGUCAAGCACAGCUGUCAUCCAGUUUACUUAUUUAUUUAUUUAUUUUGGCGAUGUCUGUUUCUUUGUUUUGCUUACAUUCCUUUUUUUUUUUUUUUUUAUAAACUAACCCUUAUAUUUAUUCCAACAUCCUUCUUGAAAUUGAAGCUCGAGCUUGGCUUAAUUAUGAUUUUAGUUUGAUUGAAGUGGAUCUCAAACUUAAUCAAGCUUAAUUGAGUUUUAUGCAAUAUUAAUUAAUAUAUGUGUUUUCUAAAUAAGGGAUACACUACAAAUUUUACACUUACCAAAACCAGAAAUUAAAUGAAUAUUUGUUAGGCUCGAUGACUGAUGUUUUAAGCCGCACGCAUAAUGCUUAAGUACAAGGUCAUAACUCAUAACGCUAUUCGAGCAGUUAAAAAUCAGCUCAAGUUCGGUCUACUUAAGUUCGAAUUUGAGUUUCUUUGAAUACAUAUUUACGCUAUAACUUUACCACACCACAUUAAAGCAUGACAUUCGUGGCUAUUUGACUUCUUCUUCUUCUUCUUCUUUUUCCUUUUUUUUGUUUGGUUGUUGGCAAUAAGAUUUGAUUCGAUCACAUCGCACACAUCAACAAAAGUGGAAAGGGGAAAAAGGAUCAUGACAAGUAAUAUAUUCUUUUUCUUCUAUUUGUUUUCUUCUUCACAGCUCCUUUAUUUUGCUUGUUUGGAGCACAUACAUUGCAGUUGUGUCACUUCAUUCAACAUUAUGUAAAUGUUGUCUAUCUCAAAAUCAUUUUCUUGUCUGUCAGACUCAAAUUUGUUUGUGAGAUCCACAGCUUACUAUAUGAAGGGCCCAACUUGGAAAGUUUAUCUUCAGUUAAUUUGCAUAUAGUGUGAAUAUUUUUCUAAUCUAAACAAAUACUAAAUCUUUAGGCCUAUUCGCUUGGCUAAUUAAGCAAGGUGAUGAGAAAAUGAGAGCACCACAAAUAAAAUUGCCAACAGUGCUAAAUAAAGCAAAUUUUAGAUAUUAAUAAAAAAGCAAAAAACUGUUGUAUUUACCUUGUAUAUAAAAAGAAAGAAAGGUUACUGUAGUAACUUCUCUUUUUACCAUGUGUAUAGUUACUUCUUUUGACAAGUGGCAGUUUUCUUUUUGAGUUGAAUUUUUGCUCCACAACCCUUAUCUCUAUCUUUUUUUCUUUAUCUUUCUUUUUUCCCUUCAAAAUUUUGCUGUAUAAUGAAUUAUACUAAGAUUAUUAUUUUUACUAUUUUUUAGGUUAUUAUUGUUGACCAUGGAGAGGUAUCACAACAAUCAACUGAUUUAUAUUAUCACUUCUUCCUCCAUCAAUUUUAACUCUUUAAUCCAGUAUUUUGCUUUUUCCGUUAAAUAUUUUCCUUCAUCCUAAUUUUUCUCCCUUUCCUCUUUCCACUCAGUGAAUGCAUCUUUUCCUUUUUCCUUUAUAAUUAACUAAAUGUAUGUUUUUCUUGCAUAAGAAUAGAUAUUUCUUUUGUUCCUUUGUUCAAAUAUCAUGAUUCAUGGUCAUCUCUUUCUUUUAGAAAAAAACAUAGACAAUAGACAUUUUACCUCCGCUAUUCCUAUUGUAUGGUAUGUUCCAUUUUCUUUUUAUUCCUGCUUUUCCCCUAUUUCACGCUGCCAAAUAUGGACUUAAGUUUUUUUUUCCAUUAACUGUAUUUCAUUUAGCCUUUAUCAUUUUUCUUUUUUGCCCCUUUUAUCCUGCUACAAUGGUUUAUUUAUUUAUUUUGUCUUGAUUUUCUUGAUAUUCAUUAAGUCUUCCAUUAUUUUGGUUCUGCAAGUCAAUUUUCCUUUUGUGAGGUUUGUCUUAAAUCUAAAUGCAAAAUUUGUAUUUUGCAAUUCUGAUGAUUUAGUUCGUUUUUAAUGCAUAAUUGAAUCUUGCAAUUCCUUUAGUAAUUCUUUGGUACUGAAUUUUUGUACCCUUUUUAUGCAUCGAAAAACCUUCCAUUCGAAUUUCUUGCAAGUUUUGUUGUAAAUUUGUAGGAUGGAAGUUUUUACAUGAUGAUGUCUUGUUUUAAAAAGAAAUAGUGGUAAAAUUUUAUGCAUUUGUAAUUAUAAUAGCAUGAUAUUUGAGCUUUAUGAAGCAUAUAUAAUUUAUGUUAACAUUGAAUAGGUUUUGCAUAUCUCAUGUGCUUGGUUUUUGGUUUUUUUUGCUAUUGUUUGUCUACACAAUACAGCAAGAUAAACUGUACUGCAUCACAAUAAGCAAGUUGGAACAAACUUUUGGAACAUUCCACCAAAAACAAACUUUAUUUUUUAGACUCAUUUUUUGACAAUUAUAAUUGCUCUUUCUUUGAAAGUAAAUUAUAGUGUAAUGAAUUUUAACCAGAAUUUUAUUGUUGAGCCAAGCACAGCCUGGUUCCUUCUAGUUAAAUGUAUAGAGUGAAAUACCCUUUAAUUGGAUAGCUAGCAAUUUAUUUAUUUAUUUAUUUUCUUCUUGUUUCAAGUUAUUGUUAUUGAUUUCGUCCUACAGUUAACUACAUUCAGAACCAUAUAUAGAAAAAAGUAUUAAAUUUUGCCCAAAUAACUCAAGAAAAAUUUGUGCAAGUGAAGAUGUUGCUAAAUUAAGAAUGACGCAUAAGCAUCAUAGACCUAUCCAAAACAUGUCCAAUUGCUAUUUCCAAGAUAUUUGUUGUCCGUAAUUGUGUUCAUUUCUUCAUUUUUCUACUACGCAUUGCUGCCUUAUCAUUGUAUCAUUCUACUACGCAUUACUAUUUUAUUUUGAAUUUAUUUUUAUUACUAUUUUUUUUUUUUCCUUUUUGAUACGAUUGAUUGAAGGUGAAGGAUUUAAACCAGAACUCCAAAAACCCAACCAAUGAGCACGGGUGUAAGAUGGGGGAGUAGGGCUGCGAACCCCCAAGAAUUUCAAAUGUUUAUGGGAUAAUUUUAGAAAUUUUCCUUGAAGUUUCUAACAAUUUACUUAGCUUCUAUAAGGUUUUAAAUAUUACACCUACAUCCCUUAUCCAUUUAAAAUGACAAUACUAAACUUAAUAUUUUAAUAAAAUUCCAUUGUUGCUGUGUUUAUACAAACAAUGCAUUUUAUAAUUUUUUUUCCUUUUUACUUCUUAUUCAUUUCUCCUAUAUUUCAUUAGAAAUAUAGAAAAAUUAUCAAUAUUGUCCCUAACCUCUAUUCUGAUCAAAUUUUAAAUUAGUAAUAUUUUUUUAAUAACUUUUAAUAUCAUCCAAUUUUUUUGUAACUCUUUUUUAUCAAAAUCAAGAAUAAAUCAACAAUAAUUAAAAACAAAUGGCUAAAAUCACUACCAAACUAUGUUGUUAUAUCACUAAACUAGUCCAUAAACUUUUCUUAGAAAAAAACCAGUCCAUAAAAUUUUAAAAAAAAAAGAUAACACUUCUAUCUCUAUCUUGAAAAGAAUCUGUAUCCCCAAUAAAAACACUAUGAAAAGUAACCUAUUAUAGCAAAAGAUUUAUGGGAAAAUCCACUUUUUGUCCCUAGACUUUGAUUUAGGGACACAUUUCGUCCCCAAAUUUUUAGACGCACCACAUUUAGUACAUGAAUUAAUUAUUUUUUGCCAUAUUUAGUCCAAAAACGGUAAAUUGCUUAAUUUGGAAGGAGAAAGUCGUUUGUUUGGCACGUGGCCGUUAAGUAAAAACAAUUUUUCACCCAAAAUCAACGGUCACAUCAGCCUUCUUUGUUCCAAUUGAAUAUUUUACCCUUUUUGGACUAAAUGUGGUCCAAAAUAAUUAAUUCAUGUACUAAAUGUGGCGCGUCUAAAAGUUUGGGGAUGAAAUGUGUCCCUAACUCAAGGUUUAAGGACGAAAAAUGGAUUUUUCCCAAAGAUUUAUUGUUAUAGUUGAUUAUCAAACAAAAAAUAUUAGCGUGAAAAAUUUGACACUUAUUUCUUUUUAAUUGUGCCAAAUUACUUGACUAUUGUUUAGAAGACUAAAUUAAACUUUAUAGGAUAACAGUAUUUUAGGGUAUUCAUUAAAUUUUUGACCCUACUUUAAGGUUUGGUUACCAAAAUGUCAAAUCAAGGGAGGUAAGUAUAUGUUUUAAAACUUCGAGGGAACUAAGUGAAAUAGUCAGAAACCUCAGGAAGGGUUUAUGAAAUUAUCCCAAAGUUUAGUGAUACGAGUCUUUACCUCAAGAAACUAGUUCAUACGUUAAAAUUCUUGCCUCCUCCCUCCAAACUUGAAAUUAAGUCCUUGCCCGUGAGAAUUAGUGACUUCAUUAGUUGUAUGCUUUGCUCUUCUCUUGAUUGUUCUAUAAGUUGAAAGUAUAUUUUCGGAUAUUUAUUUUAUAUCUAUUACCCUAUAAAAAGUAUGAUGAGUUUUGGAAUUUAAGAGUGUAAACAAAAGUUGAUAUUAGUUUUUGAGAUACCAAAAUUACCCUCAACACCUAUAAACAGCCAAACUGUAUUGCAUUUCCUUAAUAAUUAAUAAGAAUUAUGCUAACAGUUACAAAGAAACAUUUCUUGAGUUAUGGUAAAUUAAACCAAAAGAAGAACAACUAAUUCAUUGUAUUUCAUGAAUAACUAAUAUCAAUUAUGCCAACUGUUACUAGAAUGAAAAGCAUUCCCUUGAGUUAUGGUGAAUUAAAUCCAAAAAAAAAAAGAAUUAAUUUUAUUUAUAAAUGAUAAAAAAUGGUGAAUCUUAGUGAUUAUAGUGUAAGAAAAAAAAUGAUAAAAUUACACACCUCUCUAAUAAAUGAAUAAAUUACUUUGCAUUUCAUUAAUAAAUAAUAGGAAACAUUCUAGCAAUCACAAAAAUGAAAGAUUCCGUGCUUUUUUUAUUUAUAUAAAAAAAAAAGAACAACAAAUUUUGUUUUAUAAAAUGUCCAUGUUUGGAGAGUACUUCAAAUAUGAAAGAAAACAUAAUAAAUUUGUUCUAUGAGUCUCUUGAAAAGUACCAUUAGUCUUUUUGUUUUUUUGGAUACGAGUAAAUUAAGUCUUAGUAUGCAUAAUUGAAAACUAAAGGAAUUGUAGACGGUGAAUUGAUACAGCAGUGAUAGGGUGUAAUUUUAUCAUUUAUUUUAUUAUUAAUUUCCUCUAUUACAUGACUCAAUGUGGAUUAAUUAUUAGAUUCUACUCACUUUUCAUAAUUUACAUUUAUUUCAGAGAGUAAAAUGAAAAUGCUACAACUAAUGCCAAUUUGACAGUCAUCGGGAAAGAAUUCAAAAAGAAGACACUCAGGAACAUUUUUGGAACAAAAGAGACGGAGGCCUUUUUAGUCAUUUUGGCCGAAGUCUUCCUGGAAGGGGAGAGCCGCCGCAAAGGAUAUCAAUAAAAGGGGGCAGCCGCAAAGCAGGAGGCAGGAGAGUAGGUUUUUAGAUAGGAAAUAAAGUAGAAAACAGGGAGGACUACUCUAGGAAUUGCUUUUGGUUGACUUUUCUUUCAUUGGCUUUUGCUUGGCUUUAACUCUCGUAUGUCAAUUAGGCACAAUUGAAUGAUUCCCUGUAGCUUUUCUCUUGGACGUUGGCUCUUCGUCCUUUGUGGUUGCCGCAAGAUGGCCGCAGCUUUUGCGUCAGUUUUGAAUGGGUUUUUCUCAUCAACAAUGAGUUAAACCCCUUUAUCUAGUCAAGGGACAACGGAUGCUUUGGAUCGUCUAAAAUUAUGAAAUCGAUUUAAUUUUAUCUUUUCUUUUUAUUUAUUGGUAUUCGCAUAUUCCCUGGUUACAGUGCUUAUGAUUGUUUAAUUAAUUGAUUGUCUUGGAUCCGGAUAAUUAGUUAAUCUGAUAAUCUAUUGUUAAUUGGGACGUUAAAUCCGUAAUUGUUUAAUUGUCUCAAAAUAGUGAUAACUGGCAUGAUUGGGUUUGUGUCAGGGAAAUACGUGUGCUAAUCUGAAAUAACCCUGGUAGUGUGUUAUUUGGUUAGAAUAGGGCUCCUCUAAUACGUAAGACAAUUGAGGGAUUAAAUCUUAUGGGCAUAUCUAGGAUUAUUUCUCAAUUAGAGCAGUGAUUAACGGGUGUACCUUGAUCACCGACACAGUAAGGAGGGGUUGACUGUCAUCACUUGUUUGGCAAUUAUAACCUAUUUAUUAAUAGAUAAUUGAAAUUGCAUGUGCAUCGAUGAUCAAUUAGGUGAACCAUUGCUGAAGUUAUUCCUUGACUAGAUUCUUAAUUAUCACUUGUUUGAUUUUAGUAAAUUGUUAUUUAAUUUCUAGUUGGCUAUUUUAUUUUUAUUAUUUUACUUUUAGUUGAAAUGCUUAAAUUGUCACCCCUGAUAUAAAAAUACCCCCUUGUCACUGUGAAUUUGGAAAGAAGCAAUUACACCCAGUCCCUGUGGAUUCGACCCUACUUACCACUAUCUACAGAAAUUAUUUCUAGUUUGAGUAGAUUUUUAUUAUUGCACAGGCUGACACCCUGUCAAGCAGUGAAAACCAAAGGAAGUCUCCUAAUAUAAGUACACACAUGAAUUUUGAAGACCACCUCAACCGUCAUUAAUUAAACCCGAGAGGGGAACUAGUUGACAUGAGAGCGAAUCUGGAAGCUUGGCUGGCUCACGGCUGUGGUCCUAUUCUCAUUUUUACUUCCGCCACCAGCUUGGAAAGUCAUUCACGAUCACGACUGCAAUCCACCAACCUGCUAUCAAUAUAGUCAUACUCCAAAAAAAUCGGCAUCUGCUCUUUUCCAGUUCCAAAAAAUAUUCUCAACUACAUUUCCUAUAUCCAUUACUUGCUCUACACUUCUUCCUACUAGCCCAAGUGUAAAAUUAGGCAUGAAAAUAAAACAUGUUUAUCAAAAUUAAGGACCUUCCUUAUACUUUCUGCCUGUUUCAACCUAAAACCUAAGAAGAACAAAUAAUUCAUUAGACAGAAAUGCUUUUCCAAUUUCUAGCUUAAUGACCCAACUUGUCAACAAUACUGUUGAUAGUAUCUGAAGCUUUGUCCAAAAUUUCCUGCUCCACUUUAGAAUGUUCCAAUCCAUCCCUUAAAGUCUUCAACUGGUCCUUGGAUGACGCGUCAAACAAAAGGCUAAAAGAACCUUUAAGCAGCAUACCACCGGUGUAUAGUCCUCCCAGCACAGUGCAACGAAUCAAGAAGCUCUCCACUUCAUCCAAUUUAACCAACUUGACAUGCAAACGUGAAAAAGCGGUUCGCAACAUGCCUAUUAAACAUAAAUCAAACAAUUUAGAAAAUGAGUAGAUUCUUGGAACUCAACUUGCAAUUAAAAAUAAUUAAUCAUCUCCUAAGUCAUUUUAUCCCAUCUUGGUCCGUCAAAAUAGAUACUAAAAAUAGAUUCUUGGUCCGUCAAAACCUUUAUCCCGUCUUGCUGGUUACUACUCAAAUACUAGGAGUAUAGCAGCACUAUUACAAACUCGGUUCAACAGUAUCACAGCUCAAAUCAGCACAAACAAACUCCUCAAACAAUAUAGUAAACAUCUAUAGUAAAAGUUUUUCGUACACACUCCUACAAUAAAAUAUUUUAAAAAUAUCCCCAAAAACAGCUAAUGCACUCGGAGCAGUCAAACUCAGAAGUUAUUUAGUUACUGUACACGUUUGCUACUACCCUACCCUGAAACAGCAUCUCCCUGCAAAAGUAACCUACACAAGCAUCAUUCCCGCAGAAGCUUUCCCAGUCAAACUUGGAAGGAAAGCAGAGGAAACCAACAAUCAAAAUUCCCAAGUCCCUUGCCCUAUAAGCUGUAUGUACAAUUCACGCAGUAACCCAAAUAAAAUAGGUCAAGAGCCUUCUACUGGAUCAAGAAAUGCAAUAGUAGCUUUACGGAACAUCAAAGAUCUUUUGGCUGCUGAACAUACAAAUCAGACAAGACACCAGAAGGAAAAGUACCAAAUUGUGGAAUGCUGUAAUAACACAAGAUAGAAACGUCAACUUUGCAUUUGCAUGAACUGCUUUCAAGGAGGGAAAGAAACCCAUUAACAAGUGUGGUUGUCAGUGUUGCAAAAGCUAAACCCUUUUAUACAAAAUACUACAUAAAGUGAUAAUAAAUUAGUUCAAUUCAUGGUUUCAUUUUCCAAAGUCCAAUAAUGAAAAUUCAUAAAAUAUCCUCAAACUUUCCUCUAGGCAGCUUUAAGGUCCAUCUUCUUUGCCCUCGAGUUCCACUCCAACAUUCCUUAAUAAAAAACCAAAAUGCUUAACUAGGAGCUUAGGAAAGCCAUUAACCAACAUUAAUAAAGAUAGACGACAUCAACCAACCACCACUCAAAGAUUACCCAAAAGUGCACUAGAAAGAAACUUGAAUUCUAACAGAGCAGAAACUAGGUAGGACUUCAUCCUAUUUAUGAAUGUGUUUUCUGUGCUCCACUUUCAAACAUGGUAAGAGCAAAGGAUAUCACUGAAUAAAUUAAAGUGAAAUUUUGCUUUAUUAUGUAUUAUAACACCUUCAAAUGUAUACCAGGUGAGAUAAGCAAGGAAGGUAAAGUUGGGUGCUUAAUAGGGAGGGUGAAACACUUGUUAUAAAAUGUGGCCUUCAUUUUGGUGGCACUAGAAGUUGGGAAGAGGUGGAAGGCUAGUCUUUUUUCUUCCACUUCAUUUCAUCAUUGCUGUUCACCUAAUAUAUUUGGAAUGUGUUUGGAUGGGAGUGUGUUUCAAAAAUUAGUUUUUCAAAUACAAUAAAAUUUUUUAAAAAGUACUCUAAAAGAUAAUCUAAAAAUUAGUUUAAAUUUUUUUAAAAUUUUAAAAAAUUUUAAAAAAUAUCUCAAAAUAUAUUCUAGAAACUCUUCUUUUCUUAAAUAUCCUAAAAUAUUUUCUAAAAAUAUUCCAAAAUAUAAUCUAAAAACUCUGCUACAGCAAAUUUUUUCAAAAAUACCCCCAAAAAUAACUAAUCCAAACGGAGGAUUAUUCGUAUAAUUUAGGGCACAUAAAAGUAUAGUUAAAAAAAUGAGAUUUUGUAGCAAUAGGUCAAUAUAUAAUAAAAACAUCCCCAUUAUUUAUAAACUACAACAUUGAUGGAAGUUAAAUCUUGAAAAAAAGUAGAAAUCUAUAUCAUAAAUUGAGCGACAUAAGGGUUCAAUUAAAUGUAACUGAAUAUUUAAUUUGAUAAGUAAAUGAAAUACUUACAAAUAUGUUGCCUUCGAUUUGAUAAUCUUUUAUGAAGGUGGGAACAUUCUUCACACCAAUCAACUCCGAGUACAAAUACCAAUAUUGUGGGUUUAAUUAAUUCUGUUGAAUUUUGUGAAAUUCGUACUAUAAAUGAGAAUGCACGAUUUUUGCAUGAAUUAAUGUGUUGGUCAAACAAUGUACCGCCAUUUUUCUAAAAAUUAAAAGCAUACGGGAUUUAGAAUUAUCAUUUGUUUUAGAAAGUUUGUAAAUAAUAUUGUAUAAACAUAUAUACGUAUAAAUAAUUUAUACCUUUGCUUUUAAAUCUCUACGAUAAGAAGCAUCACAAUAAAAUAUGAAUCGUGCAUGCCUGUCUUGAAGAGCGAGAUAUAGAUUAGCAUUGGAAUCUCUAACUUGUAUGCUAAUAUUGUAUCUGUUAAGAAGAAAUUGUGAUAUAUAAUUAAAAAAUGUAAUUAAAAUUAAAGACAUAUGAAAAUAAUUACCUAACAAUAGUGUGGACUACGUCAUUAUAAUGGAUACACGCCAUUUUUGAAAAAUGAGAUUGACAUGGUUUUCCAUAAUUUUUGCAUAACUUAUGGAACAUAUUUUCUAUGUUAAUGUUUUGAAUGUAAGCAUGUAUCCGAAAAUAUUUAACUUAAAACCAUUCAAAAAAUGUAUAGAUUACAAUUAUUAAUUCAAAAUAAUAUGUAGAUAAUUGUUAAUUAAUUAAUUAAUUGAGAGAAUUUUUACCGUAGGUGUGACUGCAAAUGUUUCCUCCUUUACAAUCUGGUGAGUUUGAAAUUUAGGUGUUGGUGAAAGAGAUGGUCAAUUGCAAUUUUUGGUAAAAUUAUGUUCUUAUCUCUUGUUAUUGGAAUGGAGGAGUUUUAAUAGAAAAAUGGAAUUGCUAAUUGGAGGAGUAUUAAUUGAAGUGGGAAGGUGUGUGAAAGGAAGAGUGUUUGUUGGAGUGAAAUUCUUAUUUGAUAGAAACGUGGUAGUGUGUUUCAAACACAGAUCUGAUGUAUUUUAUGAAAUAAAUUAAAUGUAAAAUGCUAGAAAAAUGGAAUUGAGAGUGGGAAGGUGUGUGGAGGCUUGUUACUAAAAUUCCCUUCUCAAAUUUAUAUAGAUAUAGAUAAGUUCUGAAAAUUUCUGAUUUUGGCAGUUGAUAAGUUACUCGCUCCAUGGCUGAUGCUUUUGGGGGUACACUGAAAGUUUGAAUUCCCAUGUUUUUCGAUGGCAAGGAGAGCAGGAGAGCAAGAAAAUACGCAACGGAUCUUCUGUACCACACCCUGUCUCACAUCCUGUCCCACUCCUUAGAAUCUCGCCAAGUGUCCCUUAAUAAACCAAACCCUCAAACAACCCAACUCGAACCAUAUUAAGUUAAUUAAUCGAUUAACCAGGCAAAGAAACUUUAACCAGGCAACAGCGCUACUCCUAUUUUUUUCGCAACGGAUCUUCUGUACCACACCCUGUCUCACAUCCUGUCCCACUUCUUAGAAUCUCGCCAAGUGUCCCUUAAUAAACCAAACCCUCAAACAACCCAACUCGAACCAUAUUAAGUUAAUUAAUCGAUUAACCAGGCAAAGAAACUUAAUCUCUUUAACCAAUACAACCAAAACCAAGAAAAAUAAAAACUCUUUAACCAAAAUCACAAUUUAUCAACGGAAAAAGCCCUAAAACCCAAACAACCUCUGUCCCCUUCAUCAUCUUCACCAUUCAGCUUUGACGAAAUAUUCACGGAUAUGGUCCGAGAUGCCGAAAAGGGUUUGCACGAAGAUGCAUUGGCAUUGCACAUGAGAGACAACUUUUUUACGAGGAUGAGAUAAAGCGUCGAAGCUCUUCCCAAAGGUGAGAAACAACUUAUUUCUUAAAAACCUUGGUGGGUUUCUUCGAAGCUCUUUCUUAUGGUAGAAAUAUAUUUAGUUUUAGUGUAAAUUUGUACUGGGUAAUGGGUACUUCCGCUUCCGAAAAAAAUUUUGUUUUUGGAUGCAAAGUUAAUUUAGCUUUUGUUGUUUGCGUCAAAGGUCAUCAGAUUAUGUGUUCUCAAUGGGCAAUUGGACGAAGCUCACCACCUGUUCGAUCAAAUGCCUAAGAGGAAGAUGAAUCAAACUGUAAGGUAAACGAUGAACCAAAACAGGCUAUUUGUACGGUGAAAAUAUGGGUUGUUUGAUAAAAAAACUCAUCAGAUUAUGUGCUCUCAAUGGGCAAUUGGACGAAGCUCACCACCUGUUCGAUCAAAUGCCUAAGUGUCAUGAAUCAGCUUUUCUGUGGAAUUCACUGAUAGCCCCCUAUGCCGAAAAGGGUUUGCACGAAGAUGCGUUAGGUUUGCUCCGAAAAGGGUUAUGCCAAAACUCAGUUGUAGACAGCAUUUGGAGAACAUUCUCCUUGCUGAGUUGUGUUGAUGAUGAAGUUAUAUCAGUUCUUAUGUUUCUCUUGUUUGGCAGAUAUCUGAAAUCCCAAAGUUAACUUCUGGUUGCUUGUUUUGUUGGUAUAAUUGCAAGCUUUAUGGUAGUCUUGUUAUUACAUUUUAUCAACUUCUAUAUGACAAUAGUAUUUUGGAUAAAGUGCAGGUCAUCAUCAAACUUUUCAAAAGUCUCGUUCACCCAUUCAACUAUUUUUUUUAUUUUUUUUUUAUCAAAUAGCCCAUCGAACUCUUAAAAUGAUUCAUAUUACCCUUUAUGCUAAGGUAUGCUAUGAAAACUAACAGAACUUAUGCACGUGAAUGGACAUUUCCAUCAUUUGCCCGUUGCACUAUUUUGUACUCCAUUCUUUGUUACAGGUGGUUUUGACGGUCAAUCUAUACAAGACAGGAUUGUUCAUUUGUUAAUAAAGUAUGCAAAGCAGAAAUGGCUCAUUUGCUAACAGAGUAUUCUUUGAAGAGGCAAUAAAGAUUGAUCAAAAACCACAAAUAUAGUCUCUGAGUUGUGUUGAUGAUAAAGUUAUAUUAGGUCAUAUGUUUCUCUUGUUUGGCAAAUAUCUGAAAUCUCAAAGUCAACUUCUGGUUGCUCUGGGUUCGUUGACUUUGCAGAACAAAUAUUGGAGAAGAGGAAGAUGAACCAAACUCUUCUGGCAAACCAUUGUACUUUGCUUGACUUGCUUGAAAUUCCUCGGCUGAUGGACACGUAUGUCUUUGACCACGUUGUAAAAUAAUACAAUAAAUUCAAUUAAUGGUCUCUGUUCGGAAUUAAUAUUUACUAACCUAUGCUACAAGCAGAUCAAAUAAGUUCAAUUAAUGCAAUAAAUUCAAUUAAUUCCUUUCGCUCUCUAGUGUUUUUUUUUCUAUGUGAACCGUGAAAGUGUUCAACUUGGCCACUCAACAAAUAGUAUACCAGAAAAUGGUCGUUUAUUCCCAGCAUGUCGCUUGAUUCAAAUCAUCUCAAAGCUAGAGAUGGAAAGUGGGCAUCUUGUUGAGAUAUACUGCAGAAUUUUAUUUUCUUCACUAGUGGAAGGAAUAAUGCAUAACUAGAAAUGAUCUCAAAGCUAGAGAUGCAAGUGCAGUUUGCUAAAUUCCAGUGUUGCAGUAUAACCACUACGUCCCUCAAACAAUGAGAAGCAACAAUCUUCCCAUGCCAAAACAGAGCGGAAAACAUGCAGUUUAAUUGUUUUCCAUCAAAGAUGCACCUUCCCGGACACUGUUUGUUGCCCGACUAUGCCUUGGAUCCUUGCCAAUUAAGUCAAUGCCGCCAACUUGUUCACCAACCCAUUAGAUGAAAAGGAUCUUCAAAAGAUAUGGAAAGAGUCAGAAAUCGAGUAAGAUGCUGAAACUUCUCUUUCACUGUGUCAAAUGUCUCUGCUGCAAAGCGUAUUUGACAACUUCAUAAAAUGAAACAACAAUCCCCACUGAAGGGCCUGCCCGGGCCACUCGAGGACCAACUCCUGUAAAAAGUCCCUUUAUCCCUCCAUCCCUGUUACAAAGUCACGAUGAGUUAGAAUAGGCCAAAAAGGACAAGAACCAAGGAUUAUAUUGAUAAAAAAUAUUUGAAGCAUAUACACCAAAAAAUUUAGAUAAGAAAGCAAUGCUAGUUUCUCAUUCUUAAAUUCGGUUGCUGAGAACAAAAAUAAAGCCUGUAGAAACAAAUUCUUAGACAUGAGAUUUUACAAAUUCAGGCCUGGAUACACUUAGUUGGCAUUAUGGACCAGUAUCACUAAGAAAACAAUAAAAAAAUAGAACUCAUUUCCUACAAAGCUCAAUCCCAGUCUGAACCUUCUUUAAUCAUUUUACCAAAUUUUUGUGUUUAACCAUUUAUACAUAUCAUCCGAAUAUGCAAACCUUAGAUGAAACAGAACCUGCAAGUUAUACCUCCAUAUCUCAAGCAAUGUUUGUCUUGUGGUCAUGAAAUCCCAAGAAAGGUAAAUGUGCUAUUUUUACCUUACAGUUUGAUUCAUCUUCCUCUUAGGCAUUUGAUCGAACAGGUGGUGAGCUUCGUCCAAUUGCCCAUUGAGAGCACAUAAUCUGAUGACCUUUGACGCAAACAACAAAAGCUAAAUUAACUUUGCAUCCAAAAACAAAACUUUUUUUGGAAGCGGAAGUACCCAUUACCCAGUACAAAUUUACACUAAAACUAAAUAUAUUUCUACCAUAAGAAAGAGCUUCGAAGAAACCCACCAAGGUUUUUAAGAAAUAAGUUGUUUCUCACCUUUGGGAAGAGCUUCGACGCUUUAUCUCAUCCUCGUAAAAAAGUUGUUUCUCAUGUGCAAUGCCAAUGCAUCUUCGUGCAAACCCUUUUCGGCAUCUCGGACCAUAUCCGUGAAUAUUUCGUCAAAGCUGAAUGGUGAAGAUGAUGAAGGGGACAGAGGUUGUUUGGGUUUUAGGGUUUUCUCCGUUGAUAAAUGUGAUUUUGGUUAAAGAAUUUUUAUUUUUCUUGGUUUUGGUUGUAUUGGUUAAAGAGAUUAAAGUUUCUUUGCCUGGUUAAUCGAUUAAUUAACUUAAUAUGGUUCGAGUUGGGUUGUUUGAGGGUUUGGUUUAUUAAGGGACACUUGGCGAGAUUCUAAGGAGUGGGACAGGAUGUGAGACAGGGUGUGGUACAAAAGAUCCGUUGCGAAAAAAAUAGGAGUAGCGCUGUUGCACUUGAUUCUAAUGGUGUUAAUUUUCACUUACUUAACAUCAAAUAACUAGAUGCUUAACUCAAAAUGAUCAUGGCCCUUUCUCAUAAAUGUAACACUCAUCGCAUGUCUAUCUAAGAGUGAUGGGAGGCAAGGUUCAAACCUUGCCUUCCAACCCCACCUAAGCCUGUCAAAGGUCCGGGUCUAGAUUCGGAUCCGUCAAAUUAUUCCGGGUAUGGGUAGGGAUAUAAUUUUGGGAUCCGGAUCUGUUUUGUCAAACAAAAAAAUGGAUCGGAUACGGAAUGUGGUAUUCCGACCCGUAUUAGACCCAAACCUGAAUAUAAAUUGAUUAAGAAUUUAAUAUAUAUAUAUUUAUUAAUAUAAUAUCCCAAAUUUACUUCUCUACCUAUUAUUUUUAAAAUAUAUAAUUUUUUCGAGUAGGCCGGACCAGGAUCCGAGACCCGUCAAAUCUGGUUCCGGGAGAAAGAAUAGAAGACCCGUCGGGUAUCCGGGUCAGAUCCGGAAUGGGUAUAGUAUAACGGGUCUGAGUCCGAAUUUAUUAAUUUCGGCCCAGACCCAACUCGUUGACAGGCCUAACCCCACCAAGCCUUAAAGGCUUAGUGGUGACCAACAGUCCAAAGGCUGUUUAUAGUGUCGGUUAUUUGUUCCCAUAUUAAAAUUUGUUUGUCUUUUGCAUAAUAGCUUUGUGAGUUGAAUUUACUCCUGUAUUAAUCAAUUUUUUACAGGGGUGUUAAAGGUUUCAAUUUAUGAGAACUUGUUGUUAGUGCCACAAAAGCCUGUUGUGUAUCGCAUAGUUUUCAAUUGCUUGUAACUUCGUAGUAACCACUGUAUCCAAAACAUAUCUAGUAUGAUUUAAAAUUUAUAUUACUAAAAAACAAAAGUUCAACGGCUUUAUAAUGGCAAAAAAUUUCAUGUACAAAUAGUUUGUGCUUUUUGUACACUACUAAUGUGUACAUGCACCCCAAAAACUUUUUUCACAAUUUUGAGUCAUGGAAUUUUGUGGCCCUAACUGGUAUAUCAAUGACUAAUUUUAUGGGUAAAUGAAAUCUAAUGCAGAAUCCCCACCAUGUCUAUGAUAGUUAGAUGAAUUAAGAAUUAAAGUCAAACUAAUACCCAACCCAACCGAACACCUCACUGCCACCUAAUGUGGGUGGUGUAGCAUAUAAUAAUAAUAAAAAAAAAAAACCAAACGAACACCUCACGGAGAUAGAAAUUCGAGAGUGACAAUUAUCCUUUGAUUGAAGUAAAGGAGAAAAAAAAGAGUUAAGCUUGGCUAGUAAUAAUUUACUUAAGAGUAUUUCAGGGGUCAAACUUAUAGGGACGAAUUAUUCAGGGGUCAAACUUAUAGGGAUGAAUUAACUUUCUCUACUUUAAUUAUUAUAGAAAAAUAAUAAAAUUCAAAGUUAAAAAGGUUUAAUCUCUAAUUAAGAAAUAAAAUAAAUAAACCAUACAAAUAAAGUAUAAUUUAGAAAAAAAUUGGCAAGAUACUAGAGUUUGAAUUAAUUAUCUAAUUAUUUUCUUAGCAUACUAGGAACGUAUCACAUAGGUGUACUUUAGAUUAUCUCUUGAUCCAUCUAAUAAGUGCUCAAUUAAGUCUCGCGUCUCUGUCAAUGCAUUUAAAAUAACUAGAUUAUCUAGUCAUUUCUUAACAUCAUUUUAAUUACGUCAUACAAACCAUAAACUACUCUCCUGUUUAGGCUAAACAUAGGUUAAGUAUCUUCAUAUAUGAACCCUAAAAGCAUGUCUAUGGUGGCCAAAUAUAAACACGUACUUAAAACAAGAUGGAUAAAUCAAGGCAAAAGUCAAUAAUUUAACUUGAAUAUACAAUCAAACCUCUUUCACAAAAUCCUAACCCUAAAAAAUUAGUUCAAUAUGGUAAGAUUAAACAAGAAUUCAAUAUUAAAACUACAUGACUUGGAAUAAAGAGUAAGAGGGACUUCUCAGUUGAUGCCGUCUCCAAAUCCCGUGCCUAGAUCCUUAAUCUUGAUUCUUGAAUCUCGCACUAGAAGCCCUAAAACUAAUGUUUAGAUAUGUGUUCUCUGUCUAAAAAUGUCCCAAAGUACUCCCUAUUUUUAAGUUGCUAAAGUCUCCAUUAGAUCCCAAAAGAAACAGGCUUCUUAAAGUUGAAAAAAAAAGCCCACGUGAUUUUCCAAUAAUGUCUGCCACCAAGUCCGGUAAGAACUAAGAAGACCGACGUCGAACAUGCCUUGAGUUGAGACCAAAUAUUAAUGCAGCUCCAGAACACAACAGGUGACGAGUCCGGCAGCGGACUGCGAGCAACUAUUCUUCACAAUUCGAUUUUUCACUCCCCGCUCGCAUUUCACGCACAACUUGCAUCCAUUCUUCUUCAAGUUCAAUCUUCCUCCGAUAAAACAGCUAUAUCACUAAAUUAGGUAAUUUCUACCCUCCUUAGAACACAAAUCAAGUGGUUUAAGCACCAGUUACUUGUGUGAAACAAGCGUAAAUACUAUCCCAUCACUAAGAAUAUGAAAAUUUGGAUUUUGCCGCAAUAAUGGAGCAUGUCCGUCAUUUUGAGUAGGAGCUUUUGAUUCAUAUCCUUUGUAAUUGCACAUAUACAAAAUUUUCUUGUACGUUUCACUUGGUAUGCUUUAUGUAUGCACAUGGACCAAAAUAGCGUGAAACAGUAGUGUCUUAUAUAUUACGAAAAAUGAAUUAUUUUCUCCUCAAAAUGACUGAUUUAUUAUAAUUUUCGGAAAUUGAAGCUCUUCACGUAAGUCCCGGAUUCCUACUUGGAUAUUGUUAGUCUUUAAUCAAGUUGCACUUUUCACUUUUGGGUACCUUAUGCUCUCUCUUUGUAGGUAGAUAAUUGAAUCAUAAAAAAAGGAAGAUUUCCUUGGCAGCCAACUCGAGGUGCAGAAAAGUCUAAUGCACCAAAAGCUCAAGAUAAUAUAGGUGGUCAGGUAUUGAAAAAUGAGGGAUGAAGUAUUUACCUAACCUAAAUUUUUAUACUUUUAAAUCUUAAUUAAUUAUACUUUUGAUGACGAACUCUUUUUUUUUUUUUUUUUUUUAAUGUAGCGAGGUGGUGCACCAAAAGGUAAUGUAACUAGCAAUACAAACACCGGCACUUAUUCAAGCUUAGCAAAAAAGUCAAUUGAGACUCAUAUUUUAUGAUGAAACUAAGGUUAGUCCUUUAAUGCGAAAUGUAUGUAGGACCUCCUUAAAUCUUUAAAAGAAUGUUUGCAAUCCCGGAAGCAAGGCAAUGAAAGCAUAUCCACCAAGAAUGAAUGGUAAAGAAAAUUUCUUGUUGUAUUAUUUAAAUGAAUAUGCUAUGAAAAUUUUGUUGUAACUGAUUGUUCAAUUUACUUGUUAUAUGGGGCUGGACGCAUUUCUUUUUCUGUCCAAUUAACAUUAUAAAUAGCUUUAGUUAUAUGUUUUCUUUUUUGGGUAGUAAACUGACUGAAAAUGACUUCAUAGGAAAUAAAGAAUAAGCUCAUUCAGGUUAUUGCACAAACAGAAUUUGGAUCAAAACAGAGAGGUUUUAGUGACAAGAAAGCAAAAACAAACAAAAUAAGUGAUGACUUUGUCCCUUUCUUUCUUGAUUGCCAUCUUGCUAGGUUUUUUUUUUUUUUUUUGGGGUACUAUAUCAUAUAAAAUCGCGAAGACUCUUCAAAUAGUGAAGAGUUUUAUAUUGCAAUAGACUAGGUUCAAAAGUGAUAGGAUUGCUGUGUUUGCGCCUUUGAUACUACUGAGUUUCCAAAGAUGCAAAUCCUCUAUCCUAAUAUAUGUACGUUUGUGUAUAUAUUGAUUUUGUGUAAUGACUCUUUUUGUGGUGGAAAUAAAAGUGAGUGGGAUUUUGAUAACCAAUAUAUUGAUACCCAAAUGGAUUAUGACAUUGAAAACAAGUGAGUCCUCAAAUGGUUUAAGUAUUCAUUUGCUGCAAUAUUUUUUUUUCCUUUUUUCCUUAUGGAAUGGACUGUUGUGGUUGAUUUUGUGCAUCAGUUUGGUACAAUUUUAGUAGCAAGGGAAGAUUUAAGAAUUCUUCUGAUGGCUUUAAUUAGCUUAAGUCUAAUAACAGUCCCUUUUGUAAUUUUCUGGUUUAGUCAAUUGUUUCUUUGAAUGAGCUGAAUGCACUUUUCCUUACGGGAUGCAGAACUAAAUCAAAGGCUCAGAGCAGCAUGAUUGGGUUUUUGUUAAGGAGACAUGCAAUCUAACUUAAAUGAAUCCUCGUAUCAUAUUUGUUGGUUAGAACAAAAUUUUUCCAUUCCUUAAUGCAAUUAUGAAAUUAAAUUCUACGGUUGUACCUAGAGUUAUCUUUCGAUUAGAAAAGUAGUUAAUGGUUGUACCUUAACUAUUGAAAAAAUAAGGAAAAACUGGUUGUUAGAGAUUAUUGACAACUAUAACCAGUUUAUCAAUGAAUGCUUGAAUUUAUUUUUGCAUCAAUGAUCAUGAAUCAUUUUUGAAGUUAUGCCUUUGGCUAGAGUCAUCGUUAUCAUUAUUUAGAUUUAAUUAAUUUUUGCAUGUUUCCUUUGUUAGAAUUAAUUUGUUAGUUUAAUUUUCUAGGAAAAAUCCCCCCAUUUAACUCUUGCUUUAGAAAGAAAUAAAUCUGUCAAUUCAUGUGAAGAAGAUUCUAUUUACCACUGUGCUCUGAUUACUAUAUAUAUAUAUUGUGGAAUAGGUAAUUAUUUUAAUUGGCUGACAACUUGUUAGGUACCUUAAAAUAAUGCAUGAGAUAUUUUCUGGCAAAUCCUUUGUGUGUUUUUUCUUUUUCUUUUUUUUUUUUGCUCUUAAAGUUUUGCUUGUCACCCAGGAGCGGAUUUAAGGUGGGGGCCCCAAAUUCUUAUACUCCUCUGUCCCAUUGAAACUGUCAUACUUUCCAUUUUGGUUUGUCCAAAAUGUUUGUCACAUGCCUAAAAUGGCAAAUGAAUUUUUCUCCUUCUUCUAAUUUUACCCUUCUGACACUAUCUUUAAAUAUGUGGGUCCAGCAUAAAUUGUCAAAAGAAUAAGACACGCGUUGAAGUGCGUGGCUGAUGCUAGCCAAUGUUUACUAGCGCGUGCAGUGCAAAAUAAGCAAAAAGUUAGUGUAGCUUUAAUAAUGCAGUGGACCCAAAGUGUUGACUAGUUUGCAUAAACCAUUUGAAUAACUUCAUCCGCACCACUAUAGGCAAAAUUUGGACAGUUUGGCAGGAAUAAUUUAGGAAUUACAGACAGCUAUCUCUUCUUCUUAUCUACUGUUGAAAAAUAUUCCAAUUCCCAAAAAAUGACAAACUUUUCGGGACUGAGGGAGUAAUACCUAUAUAAUUUUAAUAUCAUUUUAAGUGUGCCCCCAUAAUUUUUUUAGAAAGAAUAUGAAAGAAUUACAUAAUUUUUUAAGUUAGUUUAUAAAUUAAAAUUCUAAAAAGAUACAUGGGGCACAAAUUCCAUUUAAAAUAAAUUAAAAAAAACCUUUUCAUUUCAACUAGCAAGUACCAAUCAUAUUAUUUACUUUCUUUGGGCCCCGCUCCCCAAUUUCCCUUUCCUCCUCUGGUUCCCCAUUUUUUUCCCCCACAACCGAGAGCCACUACCUUCCACAACUAAGCAGCUAGCUACUCUUUCUCUUGAUCAAUUCAUCUAAUCAUAUCAUUCACUUCCUUUGUCCCCACUUCCUAAUUUCCUUUCCCUCCACUGGUCCCCCAUUUUCCCUCCACAACUAAGAGCCAUUCUUACUUCCACAACCAAAUUAGUUAUCAAAAUAUAAAAACUUGUAGUGAGCAAUUGUAAAUAGUUUAGUUUGUUUUUAAAAUAAAAUUAUUAUUACAUUAAUAAUUUUGAAUUUGUCUUUUUAUGUUUUUUAUGGAAUAUAUGCAUCAUUUAUACUUGUUGGUAAAAUUUUUUUUUUUUUGCUUAAAAAACUAGAAAAAAAGUAGGUAAAAAUUUUAGUGUUGCUUUUGUUUCUACUAAGAAUUUUUUCUGGCUCCGCCCCUGUUAUCACCUACUAAUUAUUGUAACUAUUUUAACGUAGGCGUACACUGUUCAUUCAACAUUUUGGGAGGACUGCAUUUGCUUCUUGAUUGAAGAACGAUGGAUACAAAGCUAUCUUUUGCUCUUGUAAUGUUCGGCCCGCAGAUAUUUGCGUUUGGACUUGGUUUGCUUUUGUAAAGUUGUCUUGACUUAGACGUGAAAUUUCGGAUACAUACUACUUAUAAAAAUAUUUGUAGGGUGGUGUUGAAUUUAUCUACUCAAUUGUGAAUUGUGAAUUUGUUUCUUUGUUUGAAAAUUUAAUACCUUAUGCUGCCUGAUUUUUUGUGCCAACACAUAUAGGAGUUACUUAUCCAGUUUUUGUUUUAUUUCAUUUUGUUUUCACGUGUCCUCACUUAUGCUUAUUUCAAUGUACAAUUUCAUCUUGAAAAUCCAGAUAGCUGAAACGGCCAUACUGCAUGACAGGAUAAUGCAAAUCAACUUUAGAUGAAUGCUAACAUGUUAUUAUUGACACCUGAGAGAGUUCAGAAUCAAGUUUCAUUCUUUGAGAAAGAACCCUUUUGUUAGUAAAAUAUUUUGAUUUGGGAUUGGGAAAUGAACAAAUUUUUUAACAAGCUCAAAUUUUAUGUUUACAGCAACGAAACUACCUGUAAAGUUGCUCAAAUUAUAUGUUUAGAUGCAUUUCAUGGUUGGAUUUUUAAUGCCGUCCAAGAGUUGGAUUUUAUUUUUAUGAGCAAUCCAAUUUACAAGAAAGUUAUUUGGAGUAGUGUUAGAUGUUGGCUCUUCUUUUUUUCAUUUCGUUAUCAAUAAUGACAUUUUAUAUAUAAUGGAAAAUUAGUGUAAAGUGUUGAUGUAUAAUAACACGCUAGAUUUUCUCAUUAAUCUCUUAAAGCCAAAUCUUCUUUUGUAUUGUCGACGGCCCUGUUUGGCACUUGAGUUUUUUAUCAAGUUUGUCUGCUACAAAUUUUUUAAAAAUUUUAGCUACAGUAACCUCAAAAAACUUUUCAAAUUUUUUAAACUAUACACUUCAAAAUAUUCAAAAAUUUACACAUUUCAAAAAAUUUUUUAAAAGCUUCUACAGUAUGUUAAGGUAAAGUUUUAAAUAAACACCCAAAAAACUCACUUACCAAACAUUGUUCAGGUGCAAAAGCAUGCAAUUUGCAAUAAAAGUUUCCUUUCCUUACCCUGUUUGACUAUAAAUGCCAAUGACUGUCAUCGCUGCUGUCAUGGCCCCAUUCAACAAACGGAAUGGGUGGCUUGUGUGAUUGUGUUUUGCAAUCAAUUUGUUGUGUGAUUGUGUGGAAAUAUUCUUGUUUAACCUUCGAUAUUAGAUGUAAUUUGCCGUGGAAAAUAGCAUAUAGUAUUGCUUAAAAAAGAACAAAUUAUUCAGCUAAAGUUUUCAUGGUACUAUCAUGAAUGCAAGUGGGGUAUUUAUUGAACUACAAUUAUUGAACUACAAUUAUUGCGUCGGACAGUGACUCUGUGGCUGCGCAUCUGAUUUUGACUUUUGAUAAGUUGACUUCAAAUUUGCUUGAAUUGGGAUAAAUUACUUUAACCCUUUUCCUUGCUUUGGACUGUAAACGAGAAUUAAUCAGAUUUUGUAACAACAUCAAUUUCUUUUACUAUAACAUAAAUACUCAUGCAAAUAACAUUAAUUAGUGUCUUUGAAUUGCAAAAUUAUCCCAAAUAAUAUUUUGCUUACACCUCAAACACAUUUUUCAAUCCACUUUUUUAUAUUCCCAACUAAUUUUUAUCUCACAUACAUCAUAUCAUAAAAAAUGUUACAGUAAUUAUUUCAAAUAAUACUCUAUCCAAAUACACUCGUGUGAACCACUAAAAAGAUCAAUGAGUGAGCCAUUAAAAGCUCACAGAUUUGUCUUUUUUGUUGGUGGAAUUUGUUUUUUUAAGCACUAUCAUUAUAUAGAAGAUUAAUCAUUUAUCUUGUGUUUUCCAAGACUCUUAAUACUAAAUAUCAAUUUGUCAUACAAUUGUCUAUUUGCAAGUGUUAUUACCAUUUUUCAUCUUUUUUCUUCUAUAGUCUACACAAUAGUCAAUACUGCAAUAUAUCUUCAAAAAGAGAAAGAAAAUUUGUCAUUAUACCUAACAUUGUUUUAAAAUUUAAGAAAAAAAUAUGUGCUAUGAGCAGAUCCUUGAGUUUUUUUUUUUUUGGGUUCUUGCAGAGGAAGUAUUUACUACACCAGUAAGCAACUUGAAAAACAGUUAGCAAAUGAAGAAGAAAAGAAAGUAAAAGAAAUUUGGUCUAUGGUCAUGAUUCAGAUGAACCAGAAUUGAACCUUAUCAUCAAACUUCAAAAGCCGCCAUAGAUAGAAUAACCAAAUGACCAAAACAGUACUAAGCUCAGAAUCUUCACCUCAUGUAUUAUAUAUCCAUUCAGAUUAUACACAUUAAACAGAUUCCAUGUUCCAUUCAAGUUUUUCUUUGUCCAUACCAUGUCUCUGUUGCUCUUCUUCUUCAUCAGCUUUAGCCUCUCAAAUCUUCAAUUUUCAACCUCCCAACAACAGCAAAACAUCUCAUCUUUCUCCAAUUUAGAUUCACCAUGGACUCCAGAUCAGAACAAAAUCCUUCUUUCUCCCAACUCCACCUUUGCUGCAGGCUUUUUCCCACUGCCCUCUUCACCAAGCCUCUUUACAUUCUCAGUUUGGUAUUAUAGCAUCCCAAACAAGACAAUAGUCUGGUCUGCAAAUGAUAACUCCCCUGUUAGCAACUCUGCUUCUUUAGUCAUUUCGCCGUCAGGGGUAUUAACCUUGAUUAACAGCUCUUAUGGUCAAAAUUUGUGGCCUUCAAGGCCUGUUAGCAACUCAAACUCCACACAACUCAUCCUCCAGGAAAGUGGCAACUUGGUCUUUGGGACAUGGCAAAGUUUUGCUAAUCCAACUAAUACAAUUCUUCCCAGUCAGAAUAUUAAUGGUACAAUUUUAACUUCCAAGAAUGGGAAGUUCAAGUUUAUCAAGUCUAAUCAACUAGUUUACAAUGACAAUCCCUCCAACUACUGGAGCAUUGGUAAUGCUUUUCUCAGCUUGGAUAAUCUGGGGAAGAUUUCCAUGGCGAACGGCUUUUCUUACAUUUCGUCAGACUAUGGGGAUAAGAAGUUGAGAAGACUGACUCUUGAUGAAGAUGGUAAUCUCAGACAUUACAGCUUUAAUCCAAUUUCUGGUGUGUGGACAGAUGUUUGGAGGGCCAUGUACAAUUUGUGUCGAAUUCAAGGUACUUGUGGUGUUAAUGCUAUCUGUGUAUAUGAUCCUUUGGUUACUUUUGUUUCUUGCACAUGCCCUCCAGGAUUCAAGAAAAAUUCUCUUGAUCCCAAUUCUUGUGAUAGGAUAAAUCCAAUUACAGACCUGAAAAGUACCAAGUUUUUGCAAUUGGAUUAUGUCAAUUUUACUGGAGGAACGAACCUGACAUUCUUUAUGGUGUCAAAUUUCACCACUUGCCAAGCUGAAUGCCUAAGGAGGCAAAAUUGCCUGGGAUUUCUGUACAGGUAUGAUGGUACUACUACUUGCAUACUUCAAUUGGACAGACUGUUUUAUGCAUAUUGGUCCUCAGGUGUUAAGGGUGCCUUUUUCUUGAGGGUUGAUAAAUCUGAGACAGCCACUGAACCAAAAUUCACUGGCCUGACCUCUGUCUUGGAAACUUCUUGUCCUGUCACAAUUAAGCUUCCCUUUCCACCGGAAGAGUCCUCUGCCACCACUAGGAACAUUGUGAUUAUAUCUAUAUUUUUGGCAGCUGAAUUGAUUAGUGGGGUUUUCUUUUUUUGGGCUUUUCUCAAGAAGUACACUAAGUAUAGGGACAUGGCUAGGACAUUUGGGCUUGAGAGUGUACCAGCAGGUGGACCUAAAAGGUUUAGCUAUUCUGAAAUUAGAGAGGCAACCAAAAAUUUUUCUCAAGUUGUUGGAAAAGGUGGUUUUGGUAUUGUUUAUAAAGGAAAUUUAAGCGAUGGUAGGGUUGUUGCUGUCAAGGUCUUGAAAAAUGUUACAGGCGGGGAUUCUGAUUUUUGGGCUGAGGUAACAAUUAUUGCCCGGAUGCACCAUCUCAAUUUGGUCACAUUAUGGGGUUUUUGUACUGAGAAGGGUAGGAGGAUGCUAGUGUACGAGUAUGUGGCCAAUGGCUCGUUAGACAAGUUCAUUUUUCAGAAAAACGUUGAUACAUCAAAUCUGCAACGAGAAAAUAUUUCGAAUUCGAGUUUCGGUCAAAGACCUGUGCUUGAAUUGAAUAUCCGAUAUCGGAUUGCAGUUGGUGUGGCAAGAGCAAUUGCAUACUUGCAUGAAGAAUGUUUGGAAUGGGUGCUACAUUGUGACAUAAAACCUGAAAACAUCCUUUUGGGGGAAGAUUUUUGCCCGAAGGUAUCCGAUUUCGGGCUAGCCAAGUUGAAGACAAAGGAGGACAGAAUGAGCAUGUCCGGAAUCAGGGGCACCCGCGGAUACUUGGCGCCGGAGUGGGUUCGAGGUGAUCGACAAAUUACGUCAAAAUCUGAUGUCUACAGUUUUGGCAUGGUUCUGUUGGAAAUAGUGACUGGUGUGAGAAAUUUUGAGCAACAAAAUUCAAAGAUGGAGAGUGAUCAGUGGUAUCUUCCAAUGUGGGCAUUUGAUAAGGUGUUCAAGGAAAUGAAUGUUGAUGAGGUCUUGGAUCCAAAAAUUAGGCAGUCUCAUGAAAACAGAUCCCAUUUAGAUAUAGUCAAUAGGAUGGUGAAGACAGCAAUGUGGUGCCUUCAGGAUAGACCAGAUGAUAGGCAAGUGGCCAAGAUGUUGGAAGGGACAGUGGAGAUCACAGAACCUAAAAGGCCUGUAAUAUUCUACCUGGGGACGGAUGAACAUACUGGGACUUUGAACAACCCUACCCAACAUUAGCCUAUGAAAUGUAGAUUGCAGAGCUUUUAGAUUGAUGAUUCUCUACAGACGCCUAUCUUUUAUCCUGUCUUUCUACCAUGUAAAAAUCAGUUUUGUCAAUUGCUACAGUGUUGUAAUAGACAUGUUGUCUUGAGAAAUGUAAAUGAUACUGAAGGAGAGUAGUAUAUCUUUGUUUGGAAUGAAAAUUUACUGAUGUAAUCAUAGCAGUUUUUCUAAGACAAUAUACUAGCAUAGGAUAGCCCAUUUUUUUGUGCAAGUCUCAUUAUUGACAAACAUAAUUUUUUUUGUUGGCAUUAAAAUGUGCAAACUCAAAAAUUUCUAAGCUUUCUAACUGAUUUUAAGUCAUUCCUUGAAUUUCUAAAAUAACAAGUUAGCUGUAAACUUUUGGAAAUCUACUAGUUUAGUACAAACUUCCAUAGUCAAGUGCGUCGGGUGGAUGUCAGCUUGUUAGGAAGGAAAACUGGAAAACUGGGCUAUUUUUCAUCCAUAGUCAUAUUUCAUGUUCAAUCUAGAUUUCUUCUCCAUAUUUGUUAAGCAAAUUGCAAUGAACUAAUAAAUGUGGGGAAGUCCAAAUAAAAUCACAACGGCAUAAGAUUGUUUUGCAGCUUCUCUCAAGUUGACAACUAUGUGGCAUCUAAAGCAUGAAAUUAACCAUCUUAGCAUCCUAAACAAUUAUUAAUUUUUCAAGUAUCUAAGUUACUAUAUUACAGCUUUAGCACUAACUCUAGAAAAUUACUAGGGUGACAAAUUUAGUUCCCUUGUGAUGUAAAGUCAGUACACUUUUGCAAUGUGAUACGAAAAUGGAUGGCAGGGAAAAAGUUUCAUUUUUUUUUUUUGGCUUAAGGAAAAAGUAAUUUUGAUUUCUAUCCUUUUUUUUUUAAAAAGAGCAACAUCUAUUAAUUUCUACACUAAUAAAUAUCAUGGAAGGAUCCAAUAGGGCAAGGUAGGAGUUGGAAAAAGACUCGAAAUUUUAACCACAUAAAUUCUGGGAUAAAUUGGAGUUUGAAGGUCCCUCCUAAUAGUUAACUUAGAGAACCACUAGGAACAACCAAAGACCAGGGGAGGGCUCUUAAGUAAUAUUGUUAAACUCAUCGGAUUGCGACUCAAUUAAAAUAUUAGGUCGAGGGUCAAUUGAUCGGAUCGAUCGGACCAUUCUAAAAAAUCCACUGACGUUAGCAUGAUAUCAUAAUUAUUUUAUAUUUUAUAAGUUUCAGAAGUAUUAAAAUUAAGUUCUUAGUUAUAUUCGGCCAAUCAUACAAAAUGUUUCAAAAAUAUUAGACUUGCAAUCAAAUAUACACCUAAAAAUUAUAUAUAAAAUGUAAAUUUAUGGCUAAAAUAUGUCUAUUCUCCAAAAUUACUUGAAAAACUAAAUUAAAACAAAUUAAUGCAAGUUGGAAUCAUUGAUGCUAAAUUGAUAAGAUGAUAGGGAUGAAAACAACUUGGUUUAGUGAUCAUUCAGGAAAGCGAGUGAUUUUGGUAUUUCCACUAAGUGGGUAGCGUUUUCUUAUUCUUAUAAAUAAAUGAAAGUGUUACAAUUUAGGUAACUCAAAUUAUGCAUGGGGAAAAUAAGAAAGAAAAAAUUGAGAACGAGAUCAACCAGUUGAAUCGAGCCAUUGGUUUAGCCGAUUUUUGAUGGUUUUGAUUGAUUUUGAUCAAAGCAGUUUUGUACUAUAAACUAACUCGAAAAGAAUGCUGGUUCACGUCCGAUCCGAUUCGGAUCUAACAAUACUGCUCUUAAGGUUUUCCCUAUUGCCAAGGGUGGGAAAGGUUAAAAAAACAAAAAAAAAAUUAGAUAAAUGAUUUUUAAUAACAUUUUUACAACUGGAAAACUUAUAAGAGAAUUAUUUUGAAAGAUAAAGUAAUUUUUGCUCUUUUUACUCUUUUAAAUAGUACAAUAGAAAACCAAUGUUUUAAAAAUCGGACCGUUAAUUGAACCGGUGAAGUGAAAGGAUCGAGGUUCAACCGGUCGGACCGGUUCAACCUCGGUUCAAUGAAUUUUUUAAAAAAUAAUUUAUAUAAAUAUAUAUGUACAAAAUAAGACAUGUAAUGGACUAAUUUAAUAUUUUAUAUGAUGAAAAGUUUACUAUUUUUUAAUAACUUGAAUUUUUAAAAAUAAAUUUUUUAAAUUAUAAGUUAAAACAAAUAAAUUUCAUCUCAAUUUCAAUUAUAUCUAAAUCCAACCCCAAAAUAUCACAAUAUUUUGAAAUUAUACAAAAUUCAUGUCUCUGAGAAUUUAGAUAUUAUGAAUUUAAAUUUUAAUUUACGUUUUGGGAUUUAGAUAUUGCAAUUUAAAAAAGAAAAUUUGGAGUUCAAAGGAAAUCAAGAAAAUCGAAAAUAGAAAUGUAAACUUGAUAAGAAACAAAAAAUAAGAUAAAAGUGAGUGGUUGUGGCAUUAAAUAAUUUGAGUUAAAAAAAAUUCUUUUUUAACUUUUUUCAAUUUAAUCGACAAAAACAAAAUUAAAAGAUGGAAGAAAACAUCAAUAAAUUAAAAAUAAAGAGGUUUGAUUAAAAAGGGAGUGACAAAAGAAAAGAGGAUAGAGAGAGAGAGAGUUGAAAAUUAAAAAGAAAGAGCCAUGAGGGGAUGAGAUUUUGUAAGAAAAAUGGAAAAAAGAAAUAUGAUUGUUUGCUUUAUAUAAAUAAGUUAUCAAAAAAAACUAGUAAGAUGUGAUGGUGCAACGGUUAAUACAUUGAUCUUUUAUUACAAAGGUCUUGGGUUCGAAUCUUGAUUGCUGCAUUUUGCAAAAUUUUUUUUUUUAAAAAAAAAAAAAAGAGGGAAAACUGAAAACUGGAAAACCGUCGGUUCAAUCCGGUUCGGCGGUUUUCAAGGUUCAACCGAUCUUUGACCGAUUUUCUAGCAAAGUCAACAAUGUCAUUGAACCGGACCGGUGCCAUGGCCGGUUCGCGGUUCAACCGGUCGAACCGGCCGGUCCGGUCCGAUUUUCAAAACAUUGUAGAAAACUGAUGGAUGUUAUCCUCUUGAUUUUAGCUUGAUACAAGUCAAGUGACAAUGCAAGUUUGGGGGUGGGGGCAGGGGAGGGAGUUAGGAAGGGAUAAAUGAGUGGUAUGGAAUAAGUGAGUGUAGAUGAAAGGUUCCAGUCUCGAGACCACUUACUUACACUAAAAAAAAUCUCUUAGAAUAGUUAUUUAAAAAAAGUUGACAAUGCAUGUUCACAUCUGAAUGACCAAGAAAAAGAACAUUGUACCACUCACAAGAGUCUUUUAUCAUUAAUUUACUCCCAUCCCCUACGUGAAAGACAAACUAAAGAAUACAACGGAUCUUUUCAAAGUAUAAUUUUUUAAAAAUUCAAACAUAUUUUUCAAACAUCUUUUGAUCUUAUAAAUAAUUUGUUAAAAGACUUUCUAUAGCAAAAUUUUGAUAAAAGAAUGCUCAAAACAAGCAUCGAAAUGGUUAAUUCAACGAAAAACUUUAAGAUUAAUCCUUCAUGAUUUCUCUAUAUAAUUUUCUUCUUUUUACUCUAAUACGAAUAGAUAUACGACACAUAAACCCUAUUUAAAUUCUAAUUUUUUAACAUGUGACGUGGACUCAAGCAUUUCAGGUAAAAAAAUUAUUUACUUAUAAUAUUGAAAAGAAUAAUCCAAUACUUUAAUAUUAAAGUCUUUUUCAUUAGGCUCACGAGAUUUUAUCUUAGCCCCACUAGCCAUAAAGGCAUUGCAACUAGUCAAUUACCAACUACCAGGAACGAAGGGCGCAGACGGGUUGCUAGUAACAGUAGUUAUGAAUGAUUUAAUAUUUUUUAAAUAAAAUAUAAUUUGACGUGAACUACUUGUAUAAUUUAAUAAUAAAGAUAUAAUUAUUAUAUAUACGAUCUAUACCUAUAUAAACAGCAACAGGAUAUUAUAUAUCUAUUAUAAAAAUAUAAAAUAUUUAUAUAAAAUAUUUAAAAAUAUAUUACACACUAUUCACAAAUGAUUAAUCUAACCCCGUCCCUGUCACCAGCUCUCCAAAAGGGCAGACAGGCCAGAAGCCAAGCCCAUCCAGCACGUGCGCUAGAAAAGACUCAUCAAUUGAAAAUAGCCUACCUUGUGGACUUUCAAAGUCAACUCAAUCGACCGAGAAACGUCCUCUUUUUAUCCCAGUUCUCACAAUUAUGUAAUCCAAUUGCUCAGCUCUCAAUUCUACACUUCCCAUUCACAUUCCUUCCCUCCCUCCUCCGAUUAUGUAUCCUUUGAUCUUCUUCAUCAUCUUAAGCAUCUCAAAUCUUCAUUUCUCAAAAUCCCAACUCCAAAAACCAAAAGUUUUGUCAUCCUUUUCCAUUUCUAACUCAUCAUGGACUCCAACCGAGAACCAAAUCCUUCUUUCUCCUAACUCUACUUUUGCGGCAGGCUUUCUCCCUUUGCCUUCUUCUCCAAAUCUUUACACAUUCUCAGUUUGGUACUAUGGAAUAACCGAAAACAAUGCUACCAUAGUAUGGACCGCCAAUUAUGACUCCCCUGUUAAUAGUUCAGCUUCAUUGAUCAUCAAACCGACUGGGGAGCUGAGCUUGAGCACCCCUUCUGGUAAAAAUCUCUGGCCUUCAAGACCUGUUCGCAGAAGAAACACAACAGCUCUCAUUCUUCAAGAAAGUGGGAAUUUGGUUUUUGGUGAUUGGGCAAGUUUUGAUUAUCCCACUACUACAAUACUUCCCAAUCAGAAUAUUACAAAUGCAAAGAGAGUUCUUUCCAGUAUGAAUGGGAAGUUCAAGUUUAAUGAGUCUAAAGAACUUGUGUACAACGGAGAUCCAGAUUAUUACUGGACUGCUGACAAUGCCUUCUUGAAGGUGGAUGAUCAGGGGAGGAUUUCAAAACAAAACUUCCAAUCAUUCAUUUCAUCAGACCUGGGAGAUCAGAAGUUGAGACGGUUGGCUCUUGAUGAAGAUGGAAAUCUCAGGCUUUACAGCUAUGACUCAAGCUUGGAUCAAUGGGCAACUGUAUGGCAAGCCGUGUUCAACUUGUGUCAAAUUAAAGGUACGUGCGGCGCAAAUGCUAUAUGUAUGUAUGAAACUUCAGAUUCCUCUACUUCUUGUGUAUGUCCACCAGGGUUCAAGAAAAGCUCCCAUGAUUCCUGUGAAAGGAAAAUUCCAUUGACUGAUUUGAAAAACAGCAACUUCUUCCGUCUGGAUUAUGUGAAUUUUACCGGAGCAGCGAACUCUUCAAGUAUUCGGAAUUUGGCUUUAUCUGAUUGUCAAGCUAAAUGCUUGGCUGAAGAUAAUUGUCAAGGCUUUCAGUUCAAAUAUGAUGGCAAAAAUGACUGCAUACUUCUGAUGGAAAGACUAGAUUAUGGGUUCUGGUCUCCAGGUACUGAAACUGUCAUGUUUUUGAGGGUUGAUAGCUCUGAAACAGAUGAAAAUCCAGAGUUCACUGGUAUGACAACCUUAAUGGAAACAGCUUGUCCUGUUACAAUCAAGCUCCCCUUACCACCUGAAGAAUCCAGGGCUACAACUAGGAAUAUUGUGAUCAUCACAACUAUUUUUGCUGCUGAACUGAUUAGUGGUAUUUUCUUCUUCUGGGCCUUUCUCAAGAAGUACACUAAGUAUAGGGAUAUGGCUUGGACAUUUGGUCUUGAAGUCAUGCCUGCAGGUGGUCUUAAAAAGUUCAGUUAUGCUGAGCUGAAAGAUGCUACAAAAAAUUUCUCUGAUGUUAUUGGAAAAGGUGGUUUUGGUACUGUUUACAAAGGAGUUUUAGGUGAUGGCAGGGUAGUCGCUGUUAAGGCCCUGAAAAAUGUUGCAGGAGGGGAUGCUGAUUUUUGGGCCGAGGUAAAUAUUAUAGCCCGGAUGCAUCAUCUGAAUUUGGUCAGGCUAUGGGGGUUUUGUACUGAGAAGAAUAGGAGGUUGUUGGUUUAUGAGCAUGUGCCUAAUGGCUCACUGGACAAGUUCAUUUUCCAAAGAGAUUUGGUCAAUUUGGAUCUUGACGAAUCCCCACAGGAAUUGGCUGACCGGAAACCCGUCCUUGAUUGGAAUAUCCGGUACCGGAUCGCCCUCGGCGUGGCACGGGCAAUUGCUUACCUGCAUGAGGAAUGUUUAGAAUGGGUGCUGCAUUGUGACAUUAAGCCUGAGAACAUCCUCCUGGGAGAUGAUUUUUGCCCAAAAGUAUCAGACUUUGGGUUGGCUAAAUUGAAGAAAAAGGAGGACAUCGUGACCAAGUCAAGGUUCCGGGGCACACCUGGAUAUUUGGCUCCCGAAUGGCUCCGACCGGAGCCCAUUACGUCGAAAUCCGACGUCUACAGCUUUGGAUUGGUGUUACUGGAAAUAGUAGCUGGUAAGAGGAAUUUUGACCAGCAGAACUCAGAGGUGGACAGUCAUGAAUGGUACUUUCCAAGUUGGGCAUUUGACAAGGUGUUCAAAGAAAUGAAUGUUGAUGACAUUUUGGACCCAAUAAUCAAGCAUUCUUAUGACAGCACUGCACAUUUUGAUAUGGUCAAUAGGAUGGUCAAGACAGCUAUGUGGUGCCUUCAAGACCGGGCGGAGAAUAGGCCAACAAUGGGAAAGGUAGCCAAGAUGUUGGAAGGGACCGUGGAGAUCAUUGAGCCGAAAAGACCCACAAUUUUCUUCAUUAGAGAUGAGGAUGACAAGUCCAUCAAUGUGGCAAUUUCCAUGACUCAAACUCAACCGAUUGACACGUUAAGCAAGUGACUGUUAAAUCUCUGUCUUCUCCUUUCUCUGUCAAUAAUUUGGAGUCUCUUUACUGGAUCGUCAGUGGUCUAUUAUGCUGAUUUGUACUCAUUCCCAGAUUUCUACGCUAUAGCUUUUGAACAUGAAGAAAUAAAAGCAUAGUUCCGUAUGAUGACAUUCUAGAGAAGAUUGUUCAAACAAGAUUUCUCCAGUAGCUAGCUGUCUAGGGGUCAAUAAGGUGAUUCCAACCUUGGUUGUUUGUGGUGUAAUGUACUGUAUGGAAAAUAUUUUGUUUGAGUAAUUUCAGCAUUUGGACUCUCGAGCUAAAUUACACAAUUGGAUUUUUUUUUGAAAAAAAAGAGGAAUUGUUAAUAAUGGAAAAUUUUUGUACUUAAUUAUUUGUUAAUGGGCUUAAGUGGAGCACCGGUGACAAAAGGGGAGUGCAAUUAAUUAUUCUCAUGUUUAAAUACUCGAAUGCUAAGUAUAAGGAUUGAAAGAUAAACCAAUUUGUUCAAAUACUCAAAUCAAGUUUGACUUGGUAGGAGUGUGUUCAAACUUAGUUUACCAAGUAGUUAAGCCAAUCUUGAACAGCAUUUUGCACUCAAUAAAUGUUCAAACUCGGCUCAAGUUUGGCUUGAUUAGCAUAAAAUUGAAACUUAUCUAUAAAAAGCUCAAUCUACUCGAGCUCGAUUCGAAUUCGACUCGAUAGAAGUUCGUUUGAAUUUGGUUCGAUAGAUAAACAAAUCAAACUUGAACAAAAUUUCGAUCUCAAUAAAAUAAUCAACCAGAUUUAAACACUAAAAUAUUUGGUUUGAUUAGGUUCAUUUACAGUGCUGUGCAAGCUAAGCAAAAAGCACAUAUAGAGAAUUUGUCAUUACAUUGCAUAUUAUCAAUCUAGGUUGAUUCAGUACUCAUCCACAUUCGUAGAUCUUAUAAUGGUCUCUCGGCUUGGCAAAUUGUUCGAAGUUCAUCCGUCACGCAAUUUUCACUUUUAAUGAACACAGAAUCUUAGAUGACUUCUCCCGUGUUAUGCCGAAAAGGCCAAUUCUGAUGGUUGAUGAAUUUUCCAGCUUAUGAUUGUUGAACCUUUUCCAGCCUCUGAAAUUAUUGUUUGAAAUUCUUGAUUAUCAAAUUAACUCGACCUGGCUUCUCAUUAUUUGUCAAGAGUCGACAUGUUAAUCAAGAAGUGACAAGCUUCCAUAAAAAUUCAGACAGUAACCAUGGGCACUAAUCUUUGAUGAUUGGCAAGAUCUUCGACAUGGAAGGAAAUUGUUGGGAUUUCAAACAUAAUAAAACUAGAAUAUGCUAAAAUUUGGAAACCAGAAUUAAUCAAUUUCCCAGUAUACAGUUUCCCUACAUUAUUAUUUCCAAAGAAUUAUUGCUAUUUUCUUAUUUUUUUUUUUAUAAUGGGGUUUGAACUUUGAAGUAAGUAAAAGAAUGUUUACUUGGAACGUUUUCUACGAAGGAAAGCUUUCUAAGAUAUUGAAUGCAAAAUUAUACUAGGUUUCUUCCUAAAUAUAAUUUAACGGCGAUUAAAAUUAAAGGAAGUCUAAACCUAAUUCUAUAAGUACCGCCCCCCAUGUAUUUGUUCACAAAAGUAAUAACAACAAUUAGAGUAUCCUUCGUCUUUGACAAAUCUGAUUGAAGUUCAUCCUCUUGAUUUCGAUGGCGCAUUACGCUGAUGCGGUAAUCCUAGAUUUACCUUUUAUGUUUCUGUUAUUCUCUAAUUAAUGAUCUACCAUAUAAAAAGUCCCCAUAGAUAAAGCAGUAAUUGUCUAGAUCUUGAAAUUAUUGUAGAUUUUAAUAAUGAAUCUUGCACCUUAAAUUGUAUUUAUGAUUAAUUAAUUGCCAUUGUGGGAGUAUUUUUAAUCAGUUGCAAUAAUAACACGAGGGUUUUGUUGACUAGCCCUAGGCAGCCAUGGGAAAGUUCAAAGACUGGACUUGUAUGCUACGUUUACACUUUCCCAGAAGGAGCCUUUAGAUGCUUAGUUGCCUUCUAUGUAAUUUUUGUCUUUUUGAGGAACAAAUUUGUGAUUAUGUCUGAUUGAGGCUCUGUUGGUGAUUAGUUAUUAGUUAUUACAGUAUAAAAGUUGGGACUAUUUUCUGCAAUUAGUGCAGAUUUUAUGGAAUGGAAGGAUCGAUAUUUCUUUUAUAAAAAAAAAAAAAGUUGAACUAUUUUCUGUUCUUUUGGCUUCAUAUGCUCAGUCUUGUACUGGUCUCAUAACCUGUAUAUGAAGAAGCAGUUUCAAUAGAUUCAUGGAUUUGAGUUCGAAAUCCAGAAUCGACAAUUGAGAUAACAAUUAUACUUGAUGCUUGGUUCACAUCAAUAGCUUAAAAAGCAAGAAAUCCAAAUUUUGUAGUUAAGAGUGAAGAUUGUAUUUCCAUAGCUCCGUCAUAUUGUUCACGUUUGAUUAUUUCGGGUGAUUUUAGAUUUUAAUUUUGGAUAAUUAAUUUUUUUUUAUAUUCAUGUUUCCUUUUCUAUCUAAAUUUUAGAUCUUUUUAAGAGUGAAAAAAAAAGAUUAAAUGUAAAAUUAUUAUUUCUAUAUUCACUUGUCAUAAUCAACUUUUACAAAAUCUAGAGUAAUAAUGCUCAAUAGUGUGAUUAUUUUUUAUUUUUUGGAUAAACUAAUGAAAACCCUUUAUUCUGCUAAUACUUUCAAUGGGUACAACUUCAACUUUGUGGUAAGGUGAACAUCUAAUCAAACAUCAAGUUUUCUGUCUUUGACACUGAUUUGAAGAUUCGGUCCUAUGAAACUCAAAAAUAAAAGAAACAGAUCAAAUCGAAUGCAAUUUGAUUUUUCAAGUUCAUUUCUGAAAUCAACCUAAAAAAUAUAGCUUGUGAUUCUGAUCUUUAUCUUUUUCAUAAUGUUACUUAUCUGUAGCAAUCCUAAAAUCAAUGUUAUUUUGAUUUUCCUACAUACUAUUUUGUAGGCUUGUGUUUUGAAAGUGAACGUUCACUGCGAUGCAUGCAAGAUGAAGACAAUGGAAAUCCUUAGCUCCAUCAUUGGUAAUUACUUAAUUACUCACUUCUUCACUCUCUCUCUCUCUCUCUCUCUAUAUAGGAAUAAAUGAGACUAUUGCAAGGUAUCUUACAACAAAUUAAAGACGUGGGAUUUAUGAAUAGUCGAUCAUUAAUGUUUAUCACUUAUAUGUUUUUUUUAGUAUUGAUCACUUAAUUGAUUAUUCUUUUUUUUUUCAAGUGUAAGUGAAAGGAUCCGAAUUCUUCCCUCAGAUUACCUAACUCACACCCCAUCCCCCCACUUAAUUGGUCACUCACUUGAUGAAUCAUUAAUUAAUUUAAGAUUGGUGUGUAGACACCUAUGCUUGACUCAGAUUGUUUUUUUUUUUUUUUCUUUUUCCAGUUUCUCUAGUGCAGUAUGAAAGAAGGGGGAAAAAAAUCAAAAAGCAAAAAAAGGGAAAACAAGAGAGUUGAUUUUGCCCAAAAGGGGGUUAAUUUUAUUCACAAAAAAAUCUUUUAGUUAUCAUUGCUUGGGCCAUUUUGUUUUUGUAUUAAUCUACAGGAAAUAUUAACUGCACUCCACUUUUUGUUAAUCGCACUUCCUAUAUUAUUUUUAUCAUAUCGACUUCAUUUAUUAGACUAUGAGAUAAAAUAAAUGAUAAGAGUGUGAUUAACAAAAAGUGAAGUGCGAUUAACAUUUAUCAAAGUUAAUUAUCCGUCAUCCCAUGGUUUAUCAUUUUUUUUCAAGUCAAUAUUGAUAUCCUCAAAAUCAAACACGCAAGUGCUGUUUCUAUGAACUCUGUUGUAGGGGUAUAUUCUGUCUCCAUAGAUGCAGAAAAAGGGCUUGCAAAGAUUUACGGUGAGGUUGAUCCAAACAUGCUUAUGAGGGCAAUAGCAAGAGCCGGGAAACAUGCAGAGCUAGUUCAUCUUGACGUAAAGCAUCCACAAAUCAAAGCAAACGCUUCACAUAGUCGCCGGCUCGGCUACAGUUCUGAUACGCUGGAGAACUACUGUGGCAACGAGCAUGUUGCAGGGAGUUCGUUGCCUGAUGGUGCUUAUUAUGGGCACGAGCAGUGCUACUAUCCCAAUUCAUACGACAGAACAAACGUAGGAUAUGUGCCCUCAUAUCCUUCUCAGCCAGGAUACAACAAUCCAUAUGAUGAUGAGAGCUUCAAUACUUGCACCAUAAUGUGAAAACUUGCAUGGCUAGAAUGUUUUACGUGUUUGUUCUGUUUAAUAUAUAUACCUCCCUUUUCUAUGAUAGCAAGUUUGUCAAGUGUGGAAGAGUUCGAACUUGGCAGUACCAAAAGUCAAUGAGAGUUGAGGAAUGAGUAUUUAAAAGAGGAGAAUUUGUAUUAUUAUUUAGUGGUAAAUUACUUUUGAGUUUGCUUUUUAAUUGGUUUGGGGCAAAUGCAUUUACUAGUAUUGUAGAAUUCUUCUAUUAUUAAUACCUAGUAUUUAUGAGUUAUGAUCAAUUUUUAUUUAUUAUUUUUGCAAAUCAUGAUAGGCCAUUUCUUUUUUCUUUUUUUUUUAUUAGAGUAAAAUCUCAGGAACUAAUAUAAUCAGUUGCACUUUACACUCUUUAAGAUAUUUUAAUCCCCAUUAAAAGCUCAAUAGUUAUUCGAAGUGACACCUUAUUUUCAAUUAGGGGAUUUCUGCAUUUAACUAUUUUCAUUAUUUGUUCUUUUGCUAGUAGUUAGGUUAUGUGAAUGAUUGUGUGAAAAUCUCAUUAUCCGGAACUUAAUUUUUUUCAUCAUUCUUUAAUAUUUGUAUUGAUGGGAUUUUGAUUUCAUCUCUACCAAAUCUGUUAACAGUCCUUUACACAACUUCAUUUAUUUGCUGGUUUAGUCUGUGAAUUCUUUUGCAUCAAUGCCUACCAGUGGUACCAGAAGAGAUUUCGAAAAUGUAGAAAAAUUUCUCCAACAAAGUUGCUAUUUUCACAACUUUAGCUUUCAUCAUGAACACUGUACAAUGCAUUCAUCCCAUAUGUAGCCGUUGAAGUUUGUGUACACCACUACUACUUUCAAAAUGCUUGCUUAAUGUUCUUUCUAAGAAGACAAAAUUGGGGUAUCACAUGAAGUUAUAUGACCUUGAUGGGCAUUAUUCAGCAAAAUUGCCCAGAUUAACAUCUGUUCCAGGUCAAAUAUCUAAGCAUCAGUAUUCUUGAUUUGCUGUUCAAUGG